CCCGGCCCCCCGCCAUCUGGUGCUGACACGGGUUCUGCGGGCCUUGGUAUGGUCACCUGCUGCUGCUCCUGUGGCCACCGCUACCCAUGAAACGCUUCGGCAGUCUCAGGGGGAACAAGAAACACAAGGACCCAAACCGGAGCACGGAGAGGCGCCAGUCGGAGCCCCACGGCCUUUUCGGUAGGACGCUGCCCUUUGCCUGGUUUUCUGCCAGUCUGUGCUGUAGGCGGGGAAACCCCACGGCGUGGUGCGUGUGUGUGUGUGUGUGUGUGUGUGCGUGCACGCACAGCCUCCUGAGUGGUAGCUGUGUGCAGGUGUAAUUGCCAGGCAGUAGUUAGAGGACUAGGUUGGCAGGUGUCUCCGAAUUGAUGGGAGUGCUUACCGUGAACUGCCCGACGUUCCUCUGAGACCCCUUCCUGUGUCUCACCCCACCUGGCCCAAUGAGGUUGGUGAUCGAUUGGAUUGUCAUUCAUUUAGGCAAAACCCGCAGCUUGGGAGAAAGAAAGAAUGGACUGGAACUGUUAUUUUCGGCUAUUAAGGAUGAAAUGCGUGUGUGCAGAGAAAGCUCGUGUUGGGGGUCAACGGGAUGGACCCUUCGCCCUAUGGCUGAGCAAUCGGACCAGGGGUUCACGUAGGAGGGGAAGGCACCUGCCUGAUUCGUGUCCCCGGGGAGAGGGGUUUGCUUCGCGAUCUCCCUGGCGUCUGGAACCUUCCACGGCUCCCCCACACAUGGGGUUGGGACCAGUGUGACGGACUGGGUCAUGAGGGGCAGCGUCUGUGAUUCAGUACCUCCAGUGACCUGUGGAUUUGGGGUCAGUUUUCCCUCCGGCUGGGUGGCGUGACAGGAAUUCCAGAGCAUUCUGAGCUCCCUGGAGGCGUGGCUAAGACCUGCCCAUUCAAAAUUCGAUGGGACACUUCUUCAUUUUAAGUUCCCGGUGGCCACGGCCUGUCUGAUGCAGGGUGUUCCUGAGUACCCCGCUGUGGGAGGGACCGAAAGGGCCCCACGCACAUCCCGGGGGUAGUGAAGAUGCCAAUCCAAUUGUACCAACUACUUCCAGAAAGCCUCUGGGGGGCCCAGUGCGAGGCUGGUGACCCUGGGGCGUGCGGGCAGAGGAAACAGCAACUCUGGAACCAGGGAGUUUUUGACCUUGUGGAGGAACAUAGGAAUAGUGUCUGAUCGGAUGCUACGGUGGAGUUGGGUACGAACACGCCUGCCCUUGCCCCGGGGGCGAAUGGCAGAUGUCUUUGGACUUGAUUCAUAGACUGUGGUUUACAAAGAAGACUCUUGCUUUAAAUAAUAAAGUAAUAAACACUCAUUUACCUUAGAAUUAAAUCUGAACCCAAUAUUUAACUAAAAGUCUCGUUUUGCUAACGGGGAAGGGCAGGGCCAUUAUUAAAAGCCUGUUACUUGCCAGACUGUGGUUUCCCCUCCCGCAUUUCAAAUUUGGCUGUCAUCGUGUCUCCUACGCUCCUGAGAUCAAAAAUUAAUAUUUGCGUGUCGACCAAGUUUUAUAAGCGCUCACGUGCACAUGGCCGGCCCUGACCAGGGUCGGGGACAUCGGGGCUCCCUCCAGAAGCUUCCUCUGGGGUUCAGGAAGCAGGCGGAGGCCACUCGAGGCGGCUAGAGCCCGGGCAUCCAGGUUUGUGGUGUAUCCUGUCUUUCCUUUUGUCAGAGUCUCAGGGUGCGAGGAGCUGAGAGCAAGGCCAGGGGGCAGGUGUCGGCCCCUCAGACUAUGCCGGGCGGGGGGACGGCGAAUGAAGAAAAAACAGUCGGAGAGUGUCCACUGGGUGUCCCCUCCCCUCCGUGCCUUGCUGACCCUCACCCGCCUGUCAAGACUCCGCUUAACCUUCCCUUCCCUAAAGCCCGGUCACCCGUCCUGUGAUCCCCUGGCUUCUUGGGGACAGGGAUAUGUCCCCAAAGCAGCCUUCUAUCCCACGUCCUCACCACAGACUGGCUGGUUAUGGGACGCAUCGUUCCUGGUUGGUGAGUAGGGAUCGCUUCAGGUUUUUUGUUUUUCUAAAUUCCCUUUCAGCCGGUCCACUCCUUCCUACGGUGGCCAGGGAAUUUUAGAGGAGGCCCCUUCUUUCUCCAGAAAGCUUCCGUGAGGGUCGUGACGAUGUUUGUCCUUCUCUUCCAUUUUCCUCAAAUCGAGCACACGCAGGUGGCUGGUGUGGGCUCCUCACUCUCCGUGGCCGGGCCGUACUGUCCCAGGAGCCACGGACUUGUCCACGGAGACACAUCCUUGCCGCACACACGUGCAGGUGCACACACUCACACGCAGCUGUCCCCACGGCCUCCUGAACAACUGAGAGAGAAGGAGAGUCAGGCCACGGCCAACCGGCCGUUACAGAGCCUGGAGGGCAAUCGUAUUCGCCUGGAUGGCAUUUUCCUUCGGAAGUACGCGGCUCUCGUCGGGCUUUUGAACACUUCAAGGCUUGUGAUAAAACACCCUUGAAGGUUCGGAUUCACGAAAAGCUCAUCCCUUCAAACCCCCUCAGAGUUUUGUAUCUGCCCAGACCCCCUGCAAAGCUAAGCAGCCGCCUCAGAUUUUCACGCUCCGUGUGAUACAUGAGUGAUGAUGUCGACUUCAGCCUUUUCUUGAAGCCUCUUUGGUCAACAGACAUCCAGAUUAUGUUGACAAAGAGUAUGUGGCAAUGCGAAUAAAAAAUGCAAAAGGAAGAUUAGGAAAGGAUUAUGCUCAUCAGAUAAAAGAGGGCUGGCUGCAGUAAUUUUUCUCCCCUCUGCAAUUAGAGGGGACUAAUUAAAAGAGGUAGGGCGGGCGCCUGGGUGGCUCAGUCGGUUGGGCAUCCGACUUCGGCUCGGGUGGUGAUCUCGCAGUCCGUGAGUUCAAGCCCCGCGUCGGGCUCUGCGCUGACAGCUCGGAGCCUGGAGCCCGCUUCGGAUUCUGUGUCUCCCUCUCUCUCUCUGCCCCUCCCCCACUCAUGCUCUUUCAAAAAUAAAAAUAAAAACCAUUAAAAAAAAAAAAAAGAUAGAUGUACCUGGAGUCUUAAGAGACCCCUUCUGGGGACCGCACUGGAGACAGGAAGUGCGUCAGGAAGCUGGCACUCCGUCCCCAUCCGGGAGGCGUCUAAGUAACACCAAAGACUGAAACCUCUUUCUGGUGGGUCUUUGCUUUACAACGAGCUUCCCCUUCCCAUGACCCUCCUCAGGAUAAGUAUGACCACUUCUGGAGCAAAACUUCAGGGUUCCUCAUGCCCAGGUCCCCUCGUCACCCCACACUGCCUGGCCCAGCUUGUCCUCUGUGUGUGCAGGCAGGUCGCACAGCCAGGCAUGGUGCUGGGGGAAGUGUCCCUGGCUGUCUGCCUCAAAGCAGCGGGCCUGGCUGGAAAGGGACAUCUGUGGUUCGUCCUGCCUCCCCCAGCUGUCCCCCUCUGCUCCCUGCCUGUCCCUCAUGCUCUUCGCGUAAUCGCGGUUGCCCGGAAAGACCCCAGUGUCCAUUCAGUGUCUUGUUCAGAUACUCGUACUUCCCUCUCCCUAACGGAAAAUUGCAAGCGUGUAGAGACGUAGGGAGAACGGCAUCAUAUAGCCGUGUUCAAGUUCAGCAGCGCCCAGUGCUCUGCCAAUCCCACCAGCGUCUGGGGGCACGGUGGUGAGCAAGACACACGCCACCGUCACAGAGGCAGACACCUGAGAUGGUUUUUUUUUUUUUAAUUGUGGUCAAAUAAAACUUAGCGCCCUACCCGCUUUUNNNNNNNNNNNNNNNNNNNNNNNNNNNNNNNNNNNNNNNNNNNNNNNNNNNNNNNNNNNNNNNNNNNNNNNNNNNNNNNNNNNNNNNNNNNNNNNNNNNNNNNNNNNNNNNNNNNNNNNNNNNNNNNNNNNNNNNNNNNNNNNNNNNNNNNNNNNNNNNNNNNNNNNNNNNNNNNNNNNNNNNNNNNNNNNNNNNNNNNNNNNNNNNNNNNNNNNNNNNNNNNNNNNNNNNNNNNNNNNNNNNNNNNNNNNNNNNNNNNNNNNNNNNNNNNNNNNNNNNNNNNNNNNNNNNNNNNNNNNNNNNNNNNNNNNNNNNNNNNNNNNNNNNNNNNNNNNNNNNNNNNNNNNNNNNNNNNNNNNNNNNNNNNNNNNNNNNNNNNNNNNNNNNNNNNNNNNNNNNNNNNNNNNNNNNNNNNNNNNNNNNNNNNNNNNNNNNNNNNNNNNNNNNNNNNNNNNNNNNNNNNNNNNNNNNNNNNNNNNNNNNNNNNNNNNNNNNNNNNNNNNNNNNNNNNNNNNNNNNNNNNNNNNNNNNNNNNNNNNNNNNNNNNNNNNNNNNNNNNNNNNNNNNNNNNNNNNNNNNNNNNNNNNNNNNNNNNNNNNNNNNNNNNNNNNNNNNNNNNNNNNNNNNNNNNNNNNNNNNNNNNNNNNNNNNNNNNNNNNNNNNNNNNNNNNNNNNNNNNNNNNNNNNNNNNNNNNNNNNNNNNNNNNNNNNNNNNNNNNNNNNNNNNNNNNNNNNNNNNNNNNNNNNNNNNNNNNNNNNNNNNNNNNNNNNNNNNNNNNNNNNNNNNNNNNNNNNNNNNNNNNNNNNNNNNNNNNNNNNNNNNNNNNNNNNNNNNNNNNNNNNNNNNNNNNNNNNNNNNNNNNNNNNNNNNNNNNNNNNNNNNNNNNNNNNNNNNNNNNNNNNNNNNNNNNNNNNNNNNNNNNNNNNNNNNNNNNNNNNNNNNNNNNNNNNNNNNNNNNNNNNNNNNNNNNNNNNNNNNNNNNNNNNNNNNNNNNNNNNNNNNNNNNNNNNNNNNNNNNNNNNNNNNNNNNNNNNNNNNNNNNNNNNNNNNNNNNNNNNNNNNNNNNNNNNNNNNNNNNNNNNNNNNNNNNNNNNNNNNNNNNNNNNNNNNNNNNNNNNNNNNNNNNNNNNNNNNNNNNNNNNNAGGUUAGGCGGCUGUAAGCAGUGUGUUUGCGGGGGCUUUUGUCCUCCGGGGAGCCCUGGUCUGCACAGAGAACGCGGAUCCCGCACAAAUGAUGCCGGUACCGCGGACGUGUGAUGGGCGUGAAUGGACAGUAGGACAAGAUCACAGAGCCGGGGGAGGGCCGAGAGAAAUAGGGAGAAGAAGCACUCAGGGAAGGGGCUGGACUUAAGCACAGUGACUCUGGACAGUGAUGGAGAAGCUUCCUAUGAUUCACUGACUCGGCGCGGGGCUGGAAUGCCGGGUUGGGGUCACACAACUGCUGCUCUGUCAUCCAGACCCUUCCAGAAGGACCCCCCCACCACCAGGGUGGGUCUAAGGGCCCCCUUGGCACCUGAAAGCAUCGUGUGGGCUUCCUGCCUCUAGAUGAGAUGAGAACAUCGUACAUUUACGGGUGCCUGGGUGGCUCGGUCGGUUAAGCGUCUGACUCUUGGUUUCGGCUCAGGUCACGAUCUCAGGGUUUCGUGAGUUCGAGCCCCGCAUCGGGCUCUGUGCUGGUGGUGCAGAACCUGCUUGGGAUUCUCUCUCUCUCUCUCUCUCUCUGCCUCUCUCUCUCUCUCUCUCUGCCUUUCCCCUACUCGUGCUGUCUCUAUCUCCCUCAAAUAAACUUAAAAAUUAAAAAAAAAAUGCGGUACAUUUAAAGAGCAGCACGAACUCCGUCCUCAAGUAAUAAUUUGCCUUUGAUGAUGGAGAAGAAAAAACAUACAAGGUGCGAGUACUCAAGAACAAAUCAACAGGGGUGUUCCCUGAUCAUCACAACGGCUUCUUGUCCCACUGUGUCCCUGGGCCCAGGCUGUGGCCCUGGGACUGCUGGCCUCCACAGGUACCUCAUGACAGUGGUGGUGGUCCAGGGUUUAAGUCCCUAGGAGGGAGUGUGUCCCCUCCCGGUUAGGACCCAGGUCAGACUUGUGCUUGGCCUUGCAGAGUCCAGUGAGAACAGUGUCCCCGGAGCUAUGGAGUGCGUGUGGUGAGGUGGGGUGGGAAAACCCCAGAAAACCCUGGGUGGGAAAAAUGAACUACUGGGACCUCAUCAAGAUAAAAAGCGUCUGCACAGUGAAGGAAACAGUCAAAAACAGUAAAAGGCAACCUACAGGAUGGGAGAAGAUAUUCGCCGAUAACGUAUCUGAUGAAGGGUUAGCAUCCAAAAUCUAUGAAGAACUUGUCAAACUCGAUACCCAAAAAAACAAAUAAUCCAGGUAAGAAAUGGGCAGAAGACAUGAAUAGACCUUUUUCCAAAGCAGACAUCUAGAUGGCCAACAGACACAUGAAAAGAUGCUCAACAUGAUUACCCAUCUGAGAAAUCUAAUCAAAACUAUGAUGAGAUACCACCUCUCACCUGUCAGAAUGGCUAAAAUUAACAACUCCGGCAACAACAGAUGCGGGUGAGGGUGUGCAGAAAAGGGAACCCUUCUGCAGUGUUGGUGGGAAUGCAAACUGGUGCAGCCGCUCUGGAAAACAGUAUGGAGGUUCCUCAAAAAGUUAAAAAUAGAACUACCCUACGACCCAGCAAUUGCACUACUAGGCAUUUAUCCAAAGAAUACAAAAUACAGAUCCGAAGGGGCACGUGCACCCCAUGUUUAUAGCAGCGCUAUCAACAAUAGCCAAAUUCUGGAAAGAUCCCAAAUGUCCAUCUGCCGAUGAAUGGAUAAAGAACAUGUGGUGUGUAUAUAUAUAUACACAUAUAUAUAUAUAUAUAUAUACACACACACAUAUAUAUAUACCAUAUAUAUGUGUGUAUAUAUAUAUACGUACAUAUAUAUGGUAUAUAUAUAUAUAUAUGAUGGAAUAUUACUGUACGAUCAAAAAGAAUGAAAUCUUGCCAUUUGUAACAAUGUGGAUGGAGCCAGAAUGUGCUAUAUGCUAAGUGAAAUAAUUCGGUCAGAGAAAGACAAAUACCAUACGAUUUCACUCCUAGGCGGAACUUAAGAAGCAACACGGAUGAACAGAUGGGAGGGAGGGGAAAAAAAGAGAGUGGGCAACAAACCAUAAGAGACUUUUUUUUUUUUUAAUGUUCAUUUUGAGAGUGUGUGUGCACGGGCAACUGGGGAAGGGCAGGGAGAGAGGGAGAGAGAAUCCCAAGCAGGCUCCACACUGUGCAGUGGGACCCGAUGUGGGGCCCGAUCCCACGAUCCGUGAGAUCGUGACCUGAGCUGAAAUCAAGAGUCAGACACUUACCCGGAUAAGCCACGAAAGUGCCCCAAAGGACGCUUAAAUAUAGAGAACAAACUGAGGGUUGAUGGAGGGAGGUGGGGGAUGGGUUGAAUAGGUGAUGGGGUACUAAGGAGGGCGCUUGUUGGGAUGAGCCCUGGGUGUCGUGUGUAAGUGAUGAAUUCUCCUGCAACCAACGUUGCGUUGUAUAGUAACUAACUAGAAUUUAAAGAAGAACUUGAAAAAAGAAAGAGCAAAGGAAGAAAAGAGAAAAAAAGAAAAGAAAGGAAAAGAACAGAAAAGAAAAAGAAAGAACGCACACCUGGCUCUGGACAUAGGCCUACACGUUCCCGUCCGGGACUCCAGAGCAAGAGUGCUGCUGACGAGGAGGUGGAAGGUUCACAGCAGAUUCAGAAGCGAAUUUUGGUAACUCCAAAAACUAAAAUACUUGGCCGAGCCCCCACGUUGGGCUGAAAGACCUAACAUAAAGCAGGGGUUUCAUCAAGGAACAGCAACUAAGGGAUAAAUAAAGCGCCUAGGACCCGGCCUCACCUACAUUCAACACCCCCAUAGCUUUCGUAUCUAUAAACCGAAUCCCUUGUAGCCCCUUCCUCCUAGAAACUCAGCGUCGCGGGGACACAACGCUCGACAACGAGAAAACAAUACGCCCGAGCGCGGAACUCUGAGCUGCGGACGGGCAGGCCCGGUGGUACCGUCUGUAGUCAGUUCCCCGGGCAAGUGAGGGCCCUGGGAAACUGUUUCCGUACAGGUGCAUUUCAGCAGGCGGCUUCUGAGAAAUUCUCUGCUCGUCGGAACGAUGCCUGCUUCCCUUGAAGCUUUUCUGUGGACAGUUUAUUGCACAUAUAUAUAGAUACUGGGAAACCUUUGAUUGUCUGCCGGUCCAGAGCAAAGGAGGAGAAGGGGAAAUGCCUGGUAUAGACAUGGGGAGGUAGGUCUUAACAUGGAGGUUUUGUUAUCAUUCAGGUUCGGUGAGGCUGACCGUCGAGUCCGGGGACCCUGCCUCAAAUACUUUGUUGUCCGCAGCCCCCGAGAGGAGGGCCACAGGUACCGUGCAGAGCCGUGAAGGGACGAGGCAGGUGGGCCAGGAGGCAGAAGGCCGCCUGGUGGCGGGGAGAGGAUGGCCAGGAGCCUUUAUUGUGUUUCGGUGGGAAAGGCAAAGCCGGGCAGGGUCCGCACGUCUGAAAUUGGCGGAUUCGAAUAAUCCCAGCAGGCUGUGGGGUAUCGGGGUAUCAGCAGUCUCUAGUGUGUGGUCCCCGGCCCCCCUUCCACCAUGGUUAGGGUAUGGGGAAGGGAUUCUGAGUCUGGCUUCCCGGAUAGGUUGGUUUGCGUGUGAAAGGCAUGCUCUCUCUAAGGAUUGGCCACCCUGGGAGGGGCGGUCUCUCCCCAGGCCGCGAGGACCCCCGAUGCCAGAACAGGGACCCAGAAAGUAAGACAGUUCACACUAGAGGUCACUGCCAUACUUCUCAUUGUCUUUACCUUUACCUUCCAAGCGUUUUCAAGUCUGCAGGGUGAGAGUCUGCCUUCCUUGAGAGCUGAGUCUCCAGGAUGCAGGGCCUGGUGGGGAGGGGCUUGUGCCCCCCCCCCCCAAGUCUAGACACCCUGCCUUCCCCGGGCCUCAGGUGCCCAGCCGGUCAGGCUUCUCCUUGCGUUACUUCUCUCCCGGGGGGUGUUUCUCCCUUCCCUUUCGAGGGCACCAUCUUUCAAGCCUGGGGCACAUCUCUGGCACCUGCAGACGGAGGGGAAGGGCUGUCUGUCCCCGAUGGGGUUUCUUUAGGCCACAGAAAGUGCCAUGUGAGUGUCUGCGGGCAAGCACGCUGUGCCCGCCGUCUCGCCCGUUGUCGUAGACGAUAUUCCGUGAAACGAUCACGGGCCCGCUGGAUGUUUUGUGGCCACUUUGCAUGGAGCCCGGGGCUCGCCUAACCACGGCCUUAUUUCUGGAAGAAAGCGACAGGAAGGCGUGGCCAGACCAACACAGGGGCCCGUGGAGGACCCGGCACCACCCUGGGGGCCCCGGGAGGUGCGGAACAGACGGUUGGCUUCCAUUUUGAGGUCUCCUUGAACCUCACCGCCCUACUCCCACCUGGCGCCCUACUCCCACCUGGCGCCCUACUCCCACCUGGCGCCCUACUCCCACCUACUCCCACUCCCUCCACCCGGCCGCACUCUCUCCCCGGUUCUCUAACCCUCCCUCGGCCUCCAAGAUGGGCCUCGUCGACUCUCCCCGGGCUUGCCUCCCACUCAGUCUCCCUGGGUCGCUCCAGAAGAUAAGCUAAAGAGGACGGGGCUGAGUGUGUUUUUCCCCUUGCGGGAAACGCCCUCCUUGCCCUGCUCGCCCAGGCCCACCAGCCUCUCUGGGGUUUUCCGCAGAAUCUCCCCCGAGCGCUCCAGGACCGGCCACCGUCCCGCUCACGUUUGCCAAGGGGACAGGAACCCAGCGCGGUAUCUGGUUGGUCUGCUCGGGCCCACUCGCUAAACUCCUCGGGUGUGGAGACUGCGUCUCGUUCUCUCUCUGCCGGUGACAGACCUCUGAUUGUGACCCACGUUCGUGAGCCACCUUCCUCCGUGACAGGACCCCCGGUUCUCAUGCUGUGGCCUGCAUGGGGCUCGAGAGGGCAUAUGAGCAAGUUAGGUGGUGAACUAUAAAGGGGCAAUGUUGUUUAGACUUGUGGAAAAGAUUGUUGAAGGAGGGGAAAGGUGUGUCCCCAUCGAUCCCCUAUUCCUUCCCCCUGCCUUGAAGGCAGCAUGUGAUGACUGGGGCUCCAGCAGCCAUCUUGGACCCUAAGGUGAUUGCUGGGGACGGAAAACACACCCUGAGGAGAGUGGAGACUAGAGACAGGGGCCUGGGUUAACGUUGUGACGCUGCCUUAGCGGCUCCGGGCUGCUUACCCGACAGGCGUCCUUUGUGCGAAAGCAGAAUGAACCUCUCUCUUCCCGAAACCACUGUUAUUUUGGGUUUUCCUAUGAAAUGAGAGCAAACGAAAUCCUCACUGAUGCCAAGUUCCUCGCACGGAACUUGCCCCAUACUGGGCACUGGGUAAUAACGUGAGGACCAAGGAAGUGAUCUGUGAGCUUCUCCCCAGGUGCGGCUUUUGCAGACUGAGGCUACUGAGGCUCGGUGGGUGGGGCUGCCCAGGCGGGGACGAGGGCCCGGUCUCCGAGGACAUCCCACUGAAGUUUGUCCAGCUCCGUAUUCCCUAAAGCUGUGUGUCCACUGUAUACAAGUAGACUCACUCGAAGAAAACGCUGAUAUUCUAAAUGUACACUAAAAAAAAAAUUGGACUGGAUGGGGCGCCCGGGCGGCUCAGCCCUUAAGCGUCCGACUUCGGCUCAGGUCACGAUCUCGCGGUUCACGAGUUCGAGCUGCGCGUCGGGCUCUGCGCUGACAGUUCGGAGCCUGGAGCCCGUUUCAGAUUCUCUGUCUCCCUCUCUCUCUGCCCCUCCCCCACUCAUACUUUGUCCCUCUCUCUCUCAAAAAUAAACAUGAAAAAUUUUUUUUUAAUUUAUAAUAAAAAAUUGUUGACGCCUUAUACAAAUAGGUCCUUUUCUGAAACCACCGUAUCCUUUUUUGUGGUUUUAAAAUAUGACUUAGGGGGCGCCUGGGUGGCGCAGUCGGUUGAGCGUCCGACUUCAGCCAGGUCACGGUCUCGCGGUCCGGGAGUUCGAGCCCCGCGUCGGGCUCUGGGCUGAUGGCUCGGAGCCUGGAGCCUGUUUCCGAUUCUGUGUCUCCCUCUCUCUCUGCCCCUCCCCCGUUCAUGCUCUGUCUCUCUCUGUCCCAAAAAUAAAUAAACGUUGAAAAAAAAAAUUAAAGAAAAAAAAAAUAAAAUAUGACUUAGUUUGAAAAGAUUCCAGCCCAGAGAGAGACGGAUAUGACACUUCCACUGAAGGUGCACUGGCAAAUUUGAGGCCAGCCCCUUGGACCACGUGUUGAGCCUGGACAUAGGCUGUGCAGUCUGGACUCCGUACGACCCGGGUUGUGACACACUUCUUUUAUGACGUGUGUCUGGCUGCACGUCCCCGGAUAAGCCAGCAACCGCAAGUUAAUCCGUCUGAUAAAUACAUGUAUUAUGUGCGUGUGACGGGCUGGGGCGAACCGUGGGGUGAGAAAAUGAGAUGUGGCUCGCGGAAGCCCGCAGUGUGGCCGGGGGUGAGGACGCCGGCCUGGAGGGAAGACCCCGGGAUCACGCUGGUGCUCAGUGCUCCGGGGCUUGGGUGGAGUUGGGCUCUGUCUACACUGGACCCAGCUCUGUCUAAAGCUGGAUUGAUGAGACGCAGCUUCGAAGGAGGGGAGGGCAGUCAAAGAAAAGUCCAGAAAGAGAGAAAUGGGGCCUGGUUUGGCCGAAUGCAGGGUGCCAGGCUGGGGCUUCCGGAAGGGGUGUGAGCCAGGGAGGGUGUUAGGAGAGGGCCACGGGGAAGAGCCAGGGCUGGUCCUGCGUGAACAGCGGCCUCACAGGGCCUCCGCGGUGGCUUCCCUCGGCCUCCCCCGGGGGAGGGUCUACCGGUGUUCCCAGCCCCUGAGCAGCCCCUACCCUGCACCUCCCGCCACUUGCUGGUGGGGAGCCCCGUGGCUCUGAGGGCAGUGUCCCCGGGCAGGUGCCUCCCAGCACUGGCAGGUGCGGGGUCCCUGGCUGCCGGUCUUGACACAGGGAUCAGAGGCGAGAGGGGGCGCGGCAGCCGGCCAGGACCAGGAGAGAGGCACCUAGGGGAGUAGAGGAAGGCCAGCGUGGGAGGCGCUAAGGGCCGGGGCAUGGCCGGGACCUUGAGCACGGACCUGGGUGGUGGGGACGUCACCAUGAGCUAUCAGUGAUGGUUUCGCACGGUGUGGUGCGGCUCUACAAUGUUUUCUGUUCAGUAACUGUGUUAAGGCGGGUAGAGGACGUGGUGGAGGGGCGUUCCCAUUUUCCAGAUGGGAGGACUGCGGCCCAGAGAGGCCCAGAGGUCUGUCAGUCACUUGUGGCAACCUAUCAAAGGAGAUGACCCCGGGCAUCCUUUUCCGGAGGACUUCCCUCUGCUCACUAUGCCCGAGGUGGAUCCCCCACCUCCCUGCUGUGCUAACGGGCAAAGCCUCCCCUUCUCAGCCACAUUUUUCGCCCACACUCCGGCUGCUACCUUGGGCCACCCGUGAGUCACAGGGGAUGUUGAGUCAGAAGUCCCCUAUCCUCCCCGCUGCUCCUUCCCGGGUGACUCAGCCUGGUCGCAGAGCAGCCAAAACUGAUGGGAGGGGAAACAGAAGGGGCUGUAGCCUAGAGAUAACCUCUGAGCAGCCGUGGCCUUGACCUGGGGAGAUACCUAAAGAGUACCCCAGAAAGGCAAGCAAAGGGCUGUGUCAUCAGGCUGGCGCCUGUGGGCCGGGAACCCCCAAGGUGCACCCCAGUCUGGGGGUGAUUCCUAUCACCCACCAAAGCCCUCCCAGGGUCCCCUCCUCAGGGCUGUCCCGCGACACCAGCCUCCCUUCUCCUGGACGGAACCCACCGCGGGGCUCCCACGCCUGGUGAUGGAUCACUUGGAGUGACCCCGUCCUUGUGACCAGGUCUGGCCCUUCUGCCCCUCGACUUACUGUAGCCAGAUGGGGCUCGGAUCCAAUCAUCCUGGAAGGUCCCAGCACCCACAAACGGAUCGACCUCAGGCACUAUGUUGUUGACAGCUUGAUUAACAAUGCAGUACUAACUUUUAAAACCUUGUUUGUUUUUGUAAAGUUUAUUUAUUUUGAGGGUGGGGGAGGGAGAGAACCAGCAGGGGAGGGGCAGAGAGACGGGGGGAGGGGCGGUGUGUGGGGGGACAGAGGAUCCAAAGUGGGCUCCACACUGUCGGCAGAGAGCCUGACGCAGGGCUCCAACCCCCGAACCAUGAGAUCAUGACCUGAGCCAAAGUCGGACGCUUAACCGACUGAGCCACCCAGGAGCCCCCUUUCGAAACCUUGUAAAUGUAACUUUUACUAACGUAGAAACAUACAGAAACAUGUGCAGAUCGUGGGUGGUAAAAUCGGGGUUUGAACGUGCUCACGUAAGCGACGUGCAGAUCCAGGAAGGGGGGGGUGUCAGGAGCCUCCCCCGCACCCCCUCCAGGGCACUUCCCCCCAAGAUUGGCAUUGCCUGGUGUUGAACUUUAUAUGGUGGGUCCAUACAAGAGGUAUUUUUCAUCUGGCUUCUUCCGCGUGAGCGUCGUGAGCAACCCAGCUGACGUCCUAGCUGCGGUCCGCCCUCUCUGGUCGCUGCAUGAGGAACAUUCCGUCCUCUGCCCGGACCACAGCUCCUCCGUCCACCCACCUGGAUGGGCACGGGCGGUGUCCGGCCGGGGGCCCUGACGGAGUGCCGCCGUGAACGCUCUUGUACGUUUGCACACUUCCGUGGGACACACACACACACACGAGGACUGUUGGUCGUAGCACGCGCAGACGUGCAGCCUCGGUGGGGAUCUCGGCGUCCGCUGUGCGUGCAGCCUGCCUCCCGGGCGGGUCUCUAAGCAGACACCGUGUCCUCGUGUCUCCGUGUGUGUGGUGCCCUGUACUCACAAGCCGCCUCCUUCCCCCCCGUCAUCCAGCUCCGCGCAAUGAUGCAGGUGUGUUUCCUCACCUGGUCAAUCGAGGGGUAGCGUCAGUCCCCGACGGAGCAGUGAGAGUCGGUGCCCGGCAUCCCACGUCCUGGCCUGCUUCCCCACCAGCAGGGACUCAGGCUCAGCCUGUUCAUGGCCCACCAUCAAGCGUAGCCGGUGGGGUCCGCAGGGGAUCCGGGAGGAGCUCCGGUCUCUAAGGCUGCAUGCUUCCUGGGGCUCAGCGUUUGGGAUUUAUUUAUGACGGGGAACUGUAGCAGGACCCGGUUUGUAACCACCAGCUGUCGCUAUAGCAACUCCUCACUUACAGCAGCCUCCACACUAAAAAUAGAUCGCUUCAUCCCUAGGAUAGAAAAAUCAAAGAAAAUCAAGUCCCCAGAUGGAUCUCGAGGUGUGGCGAUGUAUGUUUCCGGCCUUUUUCACCACCCAUCUAAAAGCAGAAAGGUCUGCGGUGGGAUGGCCGGUCCCCUGCAAGCGUUCUCGGGGCCACAGGGCCACAGGGCCACAGAAGCCUCCCCCCUGCUUAGAAGACCUCCUCCCUUAUAGUCCAGAGGUUUGAAUACUGAAUCAUAAACAGUCGUUUCACAUCGGCCUUACUGUUUCUUCAUCUGAAUUCUUCUGUGGGAUUGUAAACCUCUUUCAAGGUCGGGGACUUAAUUAUCAGGGUGAUACGAGGACUGAAAAUCCUGUCCUAUGAAAAGGAGUUGAAAGAAUCGGAAAUGUUGGCACGGACGGGAGUGUGCUUAGCGAGGGCUGAGAACAGCCUUCGAAUAUUUGAAGGAGUGUCCUAAUGAAGAGGGGUUGCCUUGUUCUCAUCCUGCAGGAAAACAGAACUCAACUCCACGGGAGAGACUAUCUACCCCCACCCCCCCGAAAAUACAUGUAUUUUUUUAAGUGCAUUUUAUUGCAUUUUAGAAAAUCUAAAAUAAAAUUUCAUUUAGUCUGUAACUAGAAGUUGGGUAUUAUAGAUAGGGGAUGAAUCGCUGGAAUCUACCCCUGAAAUCAUUAUUGCGCUAUAUGCUAAUAACUAACUUGGAUGUAAAUUUAUAUAAAUAAAAUAAAAUAAUAAAAAAAGAUUUCAAAGUAUUUUAAAACCAGAAAAAGCCCUCCCGAAUCACAAGCCUCCAAAGCGCCCCAGCAUCUCUGUGGACCUCUAAGGAGGACAGCGUCCUGGACGGCUGCCGCCCGGGGACGCAGCUGAACUGAUGCUGGCUGGGUGGGGCCGGGGACCCUCCCGAGGUGGCUAUGGAGACUCAGGGUCACCCUGCCCACACACGGGAGGCGCUCAGUAGUGUUAGUUGUUCCCACAGGGGUAUUCCAGCCAAGGACGAGGUCUUAAACGUUGGAUGGGAGAGUUACGGAGACCUUCUCCAGGUCCCGGCUCUGAGCUACAGGCAGAAUGGACCAGAGCUGUGGGUUCCGGUGAGAAGUAAGCUUGAAACGGGGAGUGUUUGGAGCUAGCAGUACUGGGAGUGGCUGGGCUCAGUCCAGGGGCCGUUGGGGGCGCCCGGAGGUCCUUGGAUUUGGACCUUCCUGGGGAGUCCCCUCUCUGCUCCACUGGGACCCUCCCUGCCCAUAAGCCACACGUAGUAGCGAUUAGUGAUAUGCUGGUCCUUAUUUUUAUUUCGUUUUUGUUUUGGGGGCGUGGGGUUGUUUUUUGGUCUUUUUGGUUUUGCGUCUUUUUACCUUGUGGUAAAGUAGACAAACGUGAAAUCCACCUCGUAUCUGUUUCUGAGUGCGCGGCUUUGUGGCCUGAGUCACACUCACGUGGCUGUACGACCACCUCCGCCAUCAUCCCCAGAACUUUUUCUUCUGGCAAAACCGAGGCUCCGCCCCCAUUCGACAAUGACCGAUCCCUUCUCUGUCCCCCAGCCCCUGGCGCCCACCAUUCUGAUUCUCUGUCCCUGUGAAUUGGACUCUUGUAGUCACUCAUCUAAGUGGAGUCACGUGGCAUUUGUCCCUUUGUGACCGGCUUAUUUCACGUAGCGCGGUGUCCUCAGGGUUCGUCCAUGUUGUAGCGUGUGUCACAAUUUCCUGCCUUUCCUUUUUGACCUAUUUAUUUUUUUUUUUAAUUUUUUUUUCAACGUUUAUUUUUAUUUUUGGGACAGAGAGAGACAGAGCAUGAACGGGGGAGGGGCAGAGAGAGAGGGAGACACAGAAUCGGAAACAGGAUCCAGGCUCUGAGCCAUCAGCCCAGAGCCUGACGCGGGGCUCGAACUCACGGACCGCGAGAUCGUGACCUGGCUGAAGUCGGACGCUUAACCGACUGCGCCACCCAGGCGCCCCUUGACCUAUUUAUUUUUAAGAGCGAGAGACUGACCGCACAACUAGGGAGGGGCAGAGAGAGAGAGAGAGAGAGAGAGAGAGAGAGAGAGAAUCCCAAGCAGGUUCCACGCAGUCAGCACAGAGCCCAAUGUGGGGCUCGAACCGUGAGAACAUGACCUGAGCCAAAAUCAAGAAUCGGUCACUUAACCGACUGAGCCACCCAGGCGCCCCCCUCCUUCCUUUUUAAGGUGAAGUCGUUUUCUGCUGGAUGUAGACACCACAUUUUGUUUAUCUGCUCAGUCAGGGGACCUGGCCACGUCUCCCCACCUAGGUUGCAAGCCCUUCAAGGCAGCCGUGGACCUCAUUCCUGUCAGCCUGGGACCAAACACGUGGCCCUUGUGUGUGUGGCGAAAUGAGCCCCGCUGCUGGAUCCUUCCAGGGCUACGCCCUGCACCCCCCAGUGGGAGGGCCUCCUGACACCCAUCGCUGUGUGUAAUGAGAAGGUGCUGAGAGCCUGGGGACCACCUCCGGAGUUAUUGCUGGGACGCUGGGCCCCCACGGAACACUGGGGGGGAGGGGUAGCCACCUGCAGUGUGACCCGAGGGGCGCAGUGAGCAGCCCCAAGCCCCCAACAUCGGGUUUUCCGAAGGUUCAAGUUUCAGCUCAGGUGGCAUGCGUUUGGAUCCUGGCAUCAUCUGCUGUUUCAUUCUUUCUCCCAGAGGCCUCUGUUCUUAGCGCUCACAAAUCAACAGGUAGCAGCAAAGUGCCAAAUAGCCAAUCACACAGAGCAAGGCACUGGAGAUAGACCAGGAAUAGUGUUUGGGUUAGGACCUGUGCGGGGGGCCAGGAGACUGGCGUGGUCUGUAGAGGUGGCCUGGAGACAUGAGGUCCUUAGCAAAAGUGGUAGAGGGGCGUCUGGGUGGCUCAGUCCGUUGAGCAUCCGACUUGGCUCAGGUCAUGUCCCGGUUCAUGGGUUUGAGCCCCGCGUCGGGCUCUGUGCUGACAGCUCGGAGCCUGGAGCCUGCUUUGGACUCUGUGUCUCCCUCUCUCUCUCUCUGCCCGUCCCCUGCUCGUGCUCUGUCUCUCAAAAAUAAAUAAACGUUUAAAAAAUUUUUUUUAAUAAAAGAUAAGAAGAAAUGGUAGAGGGAGGCCCUACCAACCUGGGGCGGGGCUGGCGGUGGUUUCUGGGAGGGAGGCUGGCACUCAUCACAGAUGAGUGGGGACCAGCCCUGCCUUCUGAGGGUUCCUACAGGUUUUCCUGCCCCAGGGGACUCGGAGACGCUCACUCCUGGGCUCGCCCAGAGGUUGCGGAAGGGCUGUGGGGGCAGAGGGGGCCCUGUGGCUUGUUUGACUUGCUUGGCGCUAACAUGGACCCAAGGGGGCCAACACUAGACAGAGUCGAAACGCCAGACCUGCCGAGAGGACGCUACAGAGGAAGGGAUCCGAAGGCUUCGAGAGAUGGGAAUGUGAGAGUAGAUUAUCACGUAGGACCCGCUCCCUGCCCUCCCCCCCCUCCAGAGAACCCAGAGGACACACUUGUGACCAAGGCCAUGUGACAAAUGAUUGGCAAGGGGAGCCCAGCACCUUGGAGGAGCUCCGUGCACGCUCGCCCCCGAGGGUCAGAAAUUAUAGUGCCUCUGUCCUGGGAAUCCUAAAUACAGUGGGGACAGUCGGGUCCCAGGUGGCAGGGGGCCAAGCGGCGAUGGGAAGGGUCUGCCUUGUGCAGACCUGGGGUGUCGGCUCCUUUAUGUCGGUCUUCCUGGGAGUGGGGCAGAGGGAGGCCUCCGCAAUUCACGUCUGUUCAAGUGGGCAAGUUCUAGGCCAAGCGGACAAAAGCCUAGUCUGAAUCAUAAAAACAGAGUUACGGCCCAUCAGUCGGUUCCCAGACCCGAGCCAGUUCAGACCCAGAACGCCUCGAAUGGAGGGGAGGCCAGGUCCCCUCGAGGAAGGACCCCGGGACACUACCAAAAAUCCGUGCUGUCGGCGCCUGCCCCAGAGGGACCUUCGGCUUCACCAGGGUGACUGUGCGUUGGCCCAAGGAAAUGACCCAGUGCUUCAGAGAUCACCUGACCCUGGCUCCGAACGGACCCCAAUCCCAGGAGACCCGGAAGGUCUCAGCAGGUGCUUGCGGGAGAGCAGGCAGUGGUGAUUCCAGCACAGAAUUUCUCUAGCCCCCCGCCCCUCAGCGGAGGGGGAGAGCCCUUCCUGUGUGCGGUCCUUGACUUCCCCGUGUCUCUAAGCAGAGACCCCAGGGCGGGGGGCAGGGGGGGGGUGGAUGUGGGGCCGGGGUGACAGAGGCUCACAAGUGGGGAGCUGGCUGGAGGCUGCGGAGGCAGCUGGGAAGCGAGGAAUGUCACUUCAUCAGAAGCCGCGGGGCCCGUGUCUUAUCAGUGUGGGGGUGUUAGCACAUCCAUAAUAAGAAAGUGCCGGCUGAUAUGACAGCCCGUGAGUGGGGGCGGGUGUCGAGCUGUCGGCUGACAGGGGGAAGGCUGAGGUGCGUGCCGUCUGUCCCCUUGGCUGGUCGAGGAGCCUUAGGGUCUCGCCGCUUUCAGGAGAGAGAGACUUCUGCCCUCCCUGCCUGUCGGUGACCAGCAGAGCCCUCCUUUCCGAGCGAGAGAUGAGCCCUCCAGAGGAGCCGCUGGGGAGGGAGAAGGUGCAGGUGACAGACAGUAGGUUCUCAUGCGAAGGGAGAACAGAAACCCAGGGCGCUAUGUCCCGUGCCUGGAGGAAAGGCCGUGACGCCGGGCACACGGGGGCCGGUGUCGGCCCAUCCCUGCGGGACGUCGGGCUCCAAGGGGCAGCUCCCCACCACCUGGCCGGAACAUUCUCAAGCUGCAUCGCAGGCUCUUGCUGCCAACCCCCCCCCCAUCCCUACCCCGGCCCCUCCACGCCCGGGGCUCAGCCUGCAUCCGGGCCCUUCCCUCCUCCCUCCCCAGAAGCCAAUAUGGCCCUGGCGUGUUACAUCCCGUCUUGGCCUAUCAAGAGUCAUGCCGAAGGGAUGUUGUCUCGCUCUCCGUGCUAUCAGUCUUGCCUUGGUGACCAGAACCUCCGGGGGUCUGUGCUCGGUUUCCUCCCCACUCAGAGACCGGAGGCCGGCCCCAUACCCUGCGCUUCGCCGGCUCCCCUGGGAUGGCCCUCCGCCUUUCCUGUGGCAGCUGGGCACCUCCGGGUUGGACUUCUUAGAGGGGUCCCCCGGGCAGUCUGUGUCUAACGCUCGGAGUGUCCUCCCUGCUGGCCGGGCUUGCCUGCUCUGGUCCACUCGACGGGCCGCUCCCGGCCCAGCCCGGCUCUUCCCGGGCUCCCGACUGCUUGCCCUAGGCUGGCCAGCUUCUCCAACACGCUGGCAGUUGGAACGGGCCUGGCAGGUGGCCUUGGCCCGGGGUGAGUGCUGCUGACUUGGGUUUGGGUCCUCCUCCCAGGACGUGGACGCAGUCACUCCCCCCGGCUGCUGGCAGCCGUCUGUGACCACGAGGCAGGGUCGCUAAAGACCACAUGGACACAGAGGGAAGACACACAGCUACACCCUGGAUUUCCUGUCCUGAGACAAACAUUAUUACGGUGAAAGCCAGUUUGAUUUCGACUUUCUGUUACUUACAGCCCAAACGCACCCUUCACAGGAGAUUCUCAUAUAAUGACACCACGAGAAGGGGGAAGGGCAGGCCUCCUGUCACACGCGGGGAGCAAGAACCAGAGAAUCCCCUUUGGAAAUUCAGACAAGUCAGCUUUGGACUCUAUGGAAAGGGGUCCCAGGCAGCCUGGCAUCAGAGUUCUUAGCCAAGGCCCAGAAAUCGGUUCUAGCUAGUUCAAGUGGGCAAAAAAGGAAAAAAAAAAAAAUGAUUAAAGGAUAUUGAGUAGCUCACAGAAUCCCUAGCGUGGAGAGAACCUGGCUGGGUGUUCCUAAGAAGGGCCCAGAGUCACCUCCAGAAUGGGGACAGUGGAUUCCCACGCAGCCCUGGGCCACUGCAGUGCCCCCCUAAAUUCAUAUGGUAAAGCCCUAACUCUCAACGUGACUGCAUUCAGAAAUAGGGCUUUUAGGAGAUAAUUAUGGUUAAGUGAGGUCACAAGGGUGGGGACCGAAACUGAUAGGAUUGGUGGCCUUAUAAAACGAGAAAAGGGAAGCUCUCUACCGUGUGAGGACACAGCGAGAAGGCAGCCGUCCGCAAGCCGGGAGGAGAGACCUCGCCAGAACCUGACCACGCCGGCACCUUGAUAACGCGACUCUCCAGCCUCGAGAACUGCGGGAAAAUAAACUUGUGUCGUCGAAGGCGCCCAGCGUGUGCUAUUAUAUUAACCAGCGUGAGCACACUUAUCCAGCCUCCCAUCUCCGGCAACCGGGGGAUCCUGCUCUACGCCGGCUUCUGUGCACUUCGGCUCAGGAUGUCCAUCGGUCAGUCCAGGUCUCCGGGUGGCGUGCCAUUGCCCCGGGGGGGCUGGAGGAGUGAGUCUUGAGGGAAUCCCCCCACUUCCGAGCCCCUCUCCCCCUCUCUCCCUCUCUAGAAGCCAAGCAUACGGAAGACGUGAAGGAUGCUGGGUGGACAGAAGGAAUUACAAACACCCUUCCGACACAGGACGGUGAAUGUGAGGGAGGUCCCCAGCAAGGUCGAGACGAGCUGCCAAGAGACCCCUCCCACGUGGUGACCUGUCUCCGUGGGUCACCAGGUCUCGGGGCGGGUCGUCAACUUUGUAGGCUCAAAAACCCGCUCUCUUCAGCACGCCGAGAACUCGUCUCUUGCUCGGUUCGUAAAACCAUGCAGAUCUAAAUGAAGGUUUCCCGUCUCCGUGGCAAGAUGCUGGGCACGCGUGGACCGGGGCACACACACCAGCACCCUACCUGCCGAGCGACACGGGGAGCCAAGCCAGCCCAACAGCUGCAGCGCGAUUUCAAGUAGGGUCUAGGACGGGGUCGGGAGCCCAGCCCCCCUUCCCUUGGAUCCAUGCAAGGAAAGGCAUCUGGAGCUUCCCGUUUGGUGCCCUUGGAUGGCCAUUCUUCCACCAUUCUCUGGGCUUGGAGUUCCUCCAAAAAGUUUCUGCUUACUGAAUUAGAGUAAAAUGUUAUUUUCUGCCUCCCUGAAGGUGACCCAGGUCGCCUGGAGUAGGGUUAUGGGUGUUCCCAAAUUCUUGAGCCGUACCAUCAGUCUCUUGGGCAACUCUCAUCAAUGGCUACGUACGUCUUCUCUUUUAUGUGUUUUUCAGAACUUCACUAUAUAAGGGCAACCUCUUUCCUUCUUUUGUUUCCCCGAAUUCUUUCGGAGCAGGUUUCUGCCAACACUCCUUUCCCUCCAAGGUUAUAGAAGCCAAAGGUGUGGCCCUGUCCCUCCCCCCUUGGUCCGCGUGUGCGUUCACCUGCCCCGGAGAUGUUUCAGUCUGUGAACCGGCCGCCUGCCUGGGGCCGGCGUGUUUUCUGAAGUGCUCUAGGUUGUAGAAGCUGUUUUCCCUAGAGGAGUGCAAACCAGUAACCGGGAGAGUUGUGUUAAUCCCUAUGCUUUGCGAAAUGAAUUUCUUUAUUUUUUUUUAUUUUAUUUUUUUAACAUUUAUUCAUUUUUGGGAGUGAGAGAGAGAGCGUGAGCGGGGGAGGAGCAGAGACAGAGGGAGACACAGAAUCCAAAGCAGGCUCCAGGCUCUGAGCUGUCAGCACAGAGCCCGAGGCGGGGCUCGAACUCACGAGCUGUGAGAUCGUGACCUGAGCGGAAGUCGGGCGCUCAACUGAGGGAGCCACCCGGGCACCUGCGAAAUGAAUUUCUAUGGCGCCGCGUUAAGCUCAAUUUUGUGUAAGCCUCGCUUUCCACCUGUGCCCCAUCUGCAUUUUUAGGGAUUGUUAAGGGGCCUACUACGUGCGGGAUGGGUUGAGCUCCGUGCGUGGCAACGUUGCAGUAAGGUUUGCGACCAGUGGAUCCAGUCCCCGCCAGGACCAGGUGGGCUUGCUCGCGAAUGCCCAGGGUCACAGAGGUGGCCAGGAUGACCUCACGUUAUUACCAGACCGAGGUCUCUAUCCGUUCCCUUGGUAACAUACUUGAUGUGUUGGUAGUAAGCCCUUCCACACGCGCCCUCCUUUGAUCUCCUUGAGUUUUCUUCAUAAGGACAAGGAGACCUCAGGUUCUGCCCUAUCUGACCCCUGGGGGCUAAUGGCAAGAUGCCAACCCCCUGGUUUGUGGAUUGCUGUUUUUUUUCCUUUGCUGGUCAGUGGCCCUAAACAGAAAUGCAUACCCUGGUUCUGCCUUAGCGCCAGGAGAUAGCAGGGCUCGCGGAUUUGGACAAAGCCCCUGCAAAAUCGCCAUCUGGGUUCCAUGUUCCCCAGGGCUUGGAAAGCAACCACAGUGAAGCAGGAUAAUGAUGGCAUCGGGUGUUUCACGGGCAUUUGCUCUGUGUCAGGCAGGCACUUUUCCCGUGCCACCUUGUUUAUUCCUUGGAACAACUGUGUAAUAUCUGAGAAGUAGCUGAGAAAGUGUAAGAAAGAGUUCAAGUGGGGCAGCCAGGAAGUGGCAGGGUGGGGACCCAAGCCCAGGGCUCCCUGCCCCCACCUUCCUCUGGGGCAAACCCCACACACCCCGGUCUAUGAGAAUCCUUUGGGGGAAGGUAUGGGGAAAUCGGACUUUACCCCCUAAAUUGGCAGGUACUUGGUCCGGGAUGAUGCCCGGGGAUUUUUAUCAAAACUUCUAAGGGACGCCCAGGCAGGCUUUAGAGUGACAGCAUACCGUCGUCCUCGCAAGUUCAUAGUUCUUAAAGCCGGGCGAGGGGAAGAUGGGGAGGUCUGCGCUUCUGUUCUGCCUUUAAAGGUGUUUAAAUUUUUCCAUGGCUAAAAAGUGAAACAGCACUGCAUUAUCCACGCGUUAAGAGACGAGGCACCGAGUCCUUGAAGAAACUACCCUGUUAACAGGCUCGCAAUCCGGGGCAUGCCCCACACCUCCAGGAUUAAAGACUAGAGUCUGUCUUGGGGGCCACAGAGGGGGUGGGGGGUGCGGAGGGAGUCCGAGCCAAAGGUAAUAAAGCCCCAGAGCCCCUCCACUCCCAGAGGACAGUUUAGGGCUUUUAGAUCUGCACCCUAGCAUACCUGAUUUCUAAGAUGUCAAGCUCAGAAUUCACUCUUCACCGACCCCCUGCCCUUCUGGGAUUUUUGCCCUCGAGUCUUCCUUCUCCGUGUUCCACAAAUUCUGUUAUCCUGCCUCGAUUUAAUUAUGCGGCCACAGAAAGGAGAAAUUGGAAACUGCUUCACCUCCAAAGGCAGAUCCGCGCACCAGGGUGAGGAGUGUUUGUAGAGGGAGCAGAGAGAACGCCCACGCCCGCUCACGCCCCUCUCCUCCGCGCCACGGCCGCUGUCCCGGAAUACCCAGGGCACCCCAUAAACAGGAUUUGCUUUGGGUGCUGGGAAUCUGCUGAAAAUAUCCCGUACCCAAAUAAGUGAUGGAAAAUGUAAAUGCAGGUGGAAUGAAUUUGCACGACUAGAACAUUCUUCCUCUUCUCUGAUUCUCCAGCUGUGCAUAAGCCUCCACGGAAGACAGGGACAGAGGUGGGCGAGGGUCGUCCCUUCUUCCCUCUGCGAACCGUGCUGGGUAACUGAGCACGCGGCUGCGCGUCACCCAGCGUGGACCCCCUCUCGUGGAAACGGGAACCCAAUUCCACCCGGGCUCCCCUCCUGCGGCUGGCAGCCUGGGAAGUGUGUCCGGGUCGGGCAGCCAUCAGAGCCCAGAAGGGCAGUUUCUUUCAUCAGUCGGGGACAGGGACUCUCUCUCUCCCCCAGGGGACCAGGACAAAGGACCUCGUAGGGCUGUCCCCGUGGCAGCCAUAUGCAGCUUUGUGGGGCCUGAGAAGAGGGCCGGUUCCAGGAAGUGGGGAGAGAGACCCCAUCGUGGCUGCCUCAGUCGAUGCCCAGGCUCCGGUGUGCGGGCCCCUCCUGUCCAUUUACGGCAGAGCAGGGGGGACACUGGGGGACACAUCAGGGUGGGGGUCGCGAUCCGCCUGGUCCUGUUCCACCACGUGACGGGCAGGCAGCGGGAGGAAGGCCAGGUCCUAGGUGGCCAGUCACACCCUGACACUGGAUCCUCCCAGCUGCUUGUCACCUGACGAGACGUGGCCCUGCCACCAGGUGGGGGUGAUUGUCACCCCGGCAGGCGGCACCAGGGAGUCUCAAGACCGCUGCCAGCCCUGGGCCCCCUCAGGGGAGGUGGGGCUUGCUUCUGGGGUGACGGCACCAGACCAACACUUGGCCUGCGUCCCACGUUCACUGGGUCACCGUGGGGCCGCAGCGAGGAAGAGUCCUCAGGUGGGAGGAUUUCUGGAAUGUAGAAUAGAAGCCGGCCUCUUGAGUCCGCACACAGGCCGGUAGCUCUCCCGAAAAUCCCGUGUCUGCCCUAACCUCCCGUCACUCUCGCAAGCGGUCGUCGGCUUCCGUCCGAACAUUUCUAGUGACGGGUGACCCGUGCACGUGUUCAUUCAACAAACGCUUAUUAAACGUGUGCGGUCACUUACCCUCCCUGUGCCUCCAUGUCAUCGCCCACGAAAUGGAAACGGUAACCCCACUGACCUCAAAGGCGUUGAGGAUUCGAGGAAUAGACAAACGUGCUUAAAUAUACGCACGCGCUGAAUACGAAUGCAGGUACUUUCUGUCGUGCGUACGCUAAGGUGCUUAAUAGUUGCUCCAGCUCCUAGCAUGCCUGGCGGUCACGGCGGGGCCCCUGACUGCUGUGGUUCCUGCUUCCCCCCCCCCCCCAGUGCUCCGACCCACACAGGCCCCUGGAGCAGAGGUGCAGAAAGCAGGUCCCCGGCCUGGGGAGCCAGCACGAGGAGGCCAAGAGGAUUACGUGUUAUUAUGUGUCCAUUCGUGUAUGAAGUCAGGUAGCGGUGCGUGGAACAAAGGAGUCAGAGCAGAUGGGGCGUGUGAGGGCAGUGCCCUCUUGGCGGGUUUGGUGAGCGAGGCCUCCCCCCUGAGCGGGAGCCUGGGUCAGGCCGAGGGCACCCGAGGACGGCAGGGUCAGGGAGGAAGCCUUGGCUGACCGUCAAGGCCCCAGGGGCGCCCCGCUGGGGGUGAAGGUGGCAGGAAGUGAGGGCCGGCGGGGUGCGGGGCUGGACCCGUGACCUGGAGAUUUCUUCUAAGCGUGACGGGGCCCGUCCCGGGGCUUUGCGCAGAGGGGCGCCAGGCACCCCUGUUUUGAAGGCUCUCGCAGCCUCUGGGUGAAGAAGAUGCACCGUACAGGGGCGAGAGAGUCCGGGGAGGAAGGAGGCUUCUGUGUGCGCUGCUGGGCCAGGGGCACGGAUGCAGGGUCGGGGAGGGAGGGAGGCCUCCGCAGCAGGGCGUCGGGACCAAGGUGGAAAGCCUGAGCGGGGCUUGGGCCUGAUCCGGAACUAAGAAGUCUGAUGUAGAUGUUUAGCCUGAGAUGCCCCUUGUCCGUGUCUCCACCUGCACGUCGGAGCUCAGGGGAGAGGCCCGAAGGCCUCAGGCGGCUGGUCUAACCAGGAAACUGAGGGCAAAACAGCAUUACAACUUCUGUUCCCUGGCCUCGGCUCAUCUCCCUAGGGUCUCCACUGCUCUUUGUGGCUCCAGCGUAAAUGCUUUUCCUCCUAAAAGACCUUCUGAAGCGUGAAGUGGUCAUCGAGGCCCCCGGGGUUGGGUGCAGCUCGCCCACUGGGCUCCCGUCGAGCCGCGACGUGCCGCUGGCCGCUCUCCUCUUGGGCGCUCAGUUGACUUGGCGCAGCCCAAGUAUCUGCUUAGGAGAUACUUCUAGUCUCCGUUUUCUGUUUCCUCCUUUCCUCAGUGGUAGGAAGGUCUCUGUCAUGGGAGAAGGGACAGGCAACAGAAUGCCUCACGGAACAGUUUCUGUGAGGGCCAGCCCCGACCCCAGUGGUUGCUAGAGGGCUGAGCUCAUUAAUUUGGCCUCUCGGAGCCCGGUUCAAAAAGACGAAAACUUAAGAAUAUCCAUCCCGCUUUUCCUUCUCCAUGUUGGCCGGUAGCUGACUGUGAGCCAGACAGUCCUGGGUUCAGGUCCGGUCCUGGGUUCAGGUCCGGCCCUGUGGCAGGUGGUGGCCAACAUCACGUACCACGGUGCCUCUCAGGUGCCCUGCCGAGGUUGAUGCUCUGUACGCCGUCCCUACGUACCCUUGGUCCACCCUUCUGGGGUUUGGAUGAGCAUUUUCUAGCUAACGACCACCCCCGUUCCCUCUCGGGGCUCCCCGCGCCUCGGGACCUGCUCUGCCUUUAGCCAGGGCUUGGCCUUGGCCCCUGGUGGGCCUUCAGGCCCCGUCUGGAGCCCUCUGCUGACUUGGGUCGAGCUCCCUGGCUGGCCCUGUUUAACUUGGCUCUCAGUCAGGCAUCGGAUCCUCUGUGUCCUGUGUUUGCCACCGUGGGGGAGCGGGGACCUCAUCAAGGGCUCGGCCCAGCCCCCGCUCGGGCUCCUUUCAUGGUGUUGACCCGUGGGGAGCAGGUGGGGCCUCGGGUGACUGGCUUGCUGGAGAGAACCAGGUCACUUUCUCGGCACCCCGCCCCCCCAAGAAGAGAUGGUUGUGGCCAGAAGAAAGCUUUGGCCUCUGAAUUCCCCUCCCUCUCCCCCAGAGACAGCAGCUUUGGAGACCCUCGGGAAGGCUAGAGGGCGGCGUGGGUUGUUCGGAAUGUUGCUCAGUGGCUCACUGGUUAGCGUGAGGGACCCCCCGGAAAUGCAGCAGCCCCAGAGCGUCUUUGCAACGCCCCCCACCCCGCCCCCGCCAGGGUUUGCCUCACCAGGGUCUCCAGCCCGUCGGUUGAGUGAGUCGACAUCACCCUGAGUUCUCCUGCCAGCAAGGUGCCGUCGAGUCGACGCAAAGACGCCUCGAGUCUGAGAAGCUUCUGAGAGAUGGGAACUGCAGUGAGCAAUGUGACCCACUUAGCCGGGUGGGUCAGCCCAUCCUCUGACCAGGUGCUAAACGUCCUGGGAUGAGUCAACCACUCAAGUCCCUCCCUGAGUCUCUCCCUCUGAAACAGAGAGAACACGGGGCUCAGUGAGACCCGGGCUUCUAGGGCCAGCGGGGAAGGACCUCCUCCCUGUGUCCUUAGGCUGCUGCAGGCUGGCCCGCCCAGGCCCAGAGGCCGAGUGGGGGGCGGGGUGGGUGGGGGAACCGCAGCAGCCUCAGGGUCAGGUUUGAGAAGUAGAAGCGAUUGCCAGAACAUAUUCUGGAGGCAGCCUGCAUUGAGCCCCCGUUCCUGCCAUGGCUAACCCUCGGGCCCCGGAGACAGCCAAAGGGUUUGCAGCCUUCUUUCGAGGGAGUUCCUCGGGAAGACUUCAGCUAAUGACAUUAUGGAACCAGAGUUUGCAUUUGCAGGAGGCGUCUUAUCAAAACAGGUGCGUGGCUGGGGCACGCGCUCUGACCUCCCGCGAUCCCCCGAUCCCUCGGUGGGAGAGCUUGUCACCCUCGCCUCUAGAGAGCCAUUGCCGUCUGCAAGUGAAGCUUGAGUUCUCCGUUGGUGCUACAGGGCCAGGCGGCAGGGGAUGCCAGCGGCCGGGAGCCCGGGCUCUGGGAGCAGACGGGUUGACGCAGCAAUGACACCCUCUGGCUGUGUGGCCCCGGGGCAAGUCGCCUGACCUCCCUCUGCCUCCCUUCCCUCGUCUGUAAGAGGCCCCAAAGCCUCCCUCAAAGGGUGUGGUGAGGUUAAAGGAGCUACAGUUUGUAAAUCACCCAAAACAACGCCUGGUACAGAAUAACCGCUUAAGAGGGCUGAGGAAGACGCCUUCUCGUCAGCGAAUUUGUGGAAGAACCAAAACUUGCCCUCUGAGUGUUUUAUGCUAGUGGCGUCUUUCUAGAACCUACCCCACGCACCCCUGACUCCCCAGGCAGCGAAGUACCGUGCCGACUGUGAUCAGCCUGCUUUUAUGAGUUGGCAUCAUCACCGUGGACGGCCGGGUGUCCCCAGGGCCCCUCCAACUUUCCGCUGCUUGUACACUUGACCGAGGCUCCAGCUACAACGGCCCAGGUGGCAUUCUGUGGCAAGAGCAGAGUCGGGCACCCUGCCCUGGGGCAUCGCAGUCCUGCGGUUAGAGCUGUGUGGUCCUGAGGGUAAGGUGGCCCAAGGUGUGACUGCCGGAGAGACCACGGAGACCCGGCCUCUCCCUGGCAACCCCCACUGCUGGCACAGGUAGCCUUCAGCGUUUGUAGCUGUGCUCUGUCCCUUCUGUCCCUGGGGGGGCGGGGCCAAAGGAGGGACGGGCACGGGGGAGGGCCGCACUGGGCUUGGAGAACUGGGACCUUUGACAAGGCUUGGUGAGCUGGAAGCUGCCAGGGGCUCCCCUUGGCCCACCCAAACCCCUUUGGGCUGGUUUUCCCUACAAGAACCUGCUGCACUCAGUCACGUGCAGCUGUGCACACAGUUGGCACGUACGUUUCACUCCGAGGAAGUGGAGGGACCUGCCUUGCGGUGCCCAAGGCAGAUUGUCAUUUUGUGCCCUGAAGGGGAGGACUCAGGAGGGACUCCGGCUCCAGGCUUGGCGUCCUUGCUACCCGCAGUAACGCUGAUCUCGGGCGCGGGGUCGUAAGACCGCCGUGAGGUUACGUCAGGCGAAAGGGCAGAUUAGGUGGUGCUGGCCAAGCAGGGCCGCGUUGAGGCCGGCCGUGGCCCUGAGACUCCUAAGGGCCUGAUGCCGACUUGACGCAUACGGCACGAGAAACACGGAUGUGUGGCUCUUGCUGUGACUUAGGCUGGGGACCCAGAGCCUGGGCGCUCAGGCAGAGAAGUGGAAAUUCACCAGAAGCGUAGGGAGCUGAUCUCUUGGACGAACAGAAUUGUUUUCCCUCCGGGCCCUUGUGGACCCUGACCCCCUGCUCUCAUGCCCCUUCCCUCUGAGAGAAAAGCCCCCGUGUCCCUUACUGGUGCUCAGUUGGCCAGACGUGGCCACCUCCCAGGCCCCCUCACCGAAGAAAGCAAAUCAGGAGCUGGCGCGACAGGGACACGUGGCUUCCAAGUCUGGCUCCCCCAUCGGCUGCGUACAGCCAUCACCAGCAAGCUUCCCUCAGGUCCUUCCCGGGCAGAGAGACCCCGCCUCACCCCGUGACAGCACAGCGCAAAAAGCCACAGGACAAUCUUGUGUGCAUCCGUAGCCUCUUAUUAAGUAGCCGCGCGUACAGACACAGCCCCUCCUCUGUCUGUCUCCCUAAGGAGUGUCUGUGACAGACGGUUCAUCAGCAGGAACUGCGCCUGACGGUCCCAAGGCCAGCUUUGUGUGAUGGACGGAUGUGUUCAGCCUGCUGGGGUCAUCCUGUUUGGGGCUUAGUGGUCUCCAACCAACUUUCCCGGCGGGAUUAACUCUCAGUCCGUGUGCGCGCGUGUGCGUGCGUGCGUGUGUGUGUGUGUGUGUGUGUGACGACCAGAUUGAGAAAAGAACACGGGCCCUGAUCCUUUGUUUCCUUGGUGUUGCUCAGAAGGAAGUAGACUUUUCUCUUAUCAGCAGGAACGAAAAGGAAAUCUGACGUCCUCGGCCAACUCAGAUACCACAGGCUUUCCAAAGCAGCUUGGGAGUGGAACAUCUGUCGUGUAUUUCACAUGCCAGUGCCUCUCCGCGCAGCUCGACUGCAUUUACUUUUAACGGAACGUUGAGAAAUUCUCAUUCAGUUCGUCAAAAACGUGUGCGGCAUCUGGCCAGUAAAUUCAGUGGCACCCCGGGAAACCUUGCUCAGCUCAGGGUUCUUUGUUUCCUGUGGCUGCCAGGGUCGGGCUGCUGAACGCUAGCGUUCUAGGACAUGCUACGUCCACGAAAUCACGGGUUUCGGGCUUGGUCAGCAGGGUUCAAAACCUGCCCCCCCCCCCCCGACUUCGCAGCCUUACUCCUGCUGUGGUUCCUAAGCAGGAAUGCGCUCUCUCUCCAAGCCUGGCCAUUCUGGGCACAGAGGGAUCGAUGCCCACCUCGUGGCUGGUGCAUGGGCGCGUCCAUUAGAUGAGGUAUGGGGGGGCCUAGCACGUUAAGCUCCUCCUCUCCCGUGAAAAUUUUGUGCCAAAUAAAUACAUCAAAUAGAAAGCAGCACCCCCCAAAAAGCAUGCAUGCCUCUCCGUGAGUGUGUGUAUAGAACGUGCAGGUGGCAGGGCACCUGCGUGGCUCAGGGGGUUAAGCGUGCGACAUCGGCUCAGGUCGUGAUGUCGCGGUUCGUGGGUUCAAGCCCCGCGUCGGGCUCCGUGCUGACAGCUCGGAGCCUGGGCCCCGCUUCGGAUUCUGUGUCUCCCUCGCUCUCUGCCCCUCCUCCGCUCACGCUCUGUCUCUCUCGCAAAAUAAUAAACAUUAAAAAAUUAAGAAACAGAAUAGAAUGUUCAAGUGGCAUCGCUCCUCAUAGCCCUGACACAGAAACCGCCCAGAUGCCCAUAAGCGGCGGAGGUGAUAAAUACACGGCAGCAGGUUCCCAUAAUGGAAUAUUCUGCGGUGAUGUGAAUGAGCGGUCCGCAGCUACGUGCAGCAAAUAUAAUGAGCCUCGCAAACAAUGUGAGCGAGAGAAGCCUGAUGUGAAAGAAUACAAGCCGUCUGGUUCCAUCGGUAUAACCUAUGAGAACAGACAAAACCAGGCGUUAGGAUCGUGCCGGUGACUGUCUGAGGAGGUGAGCAAAGGGCAUCCGAAGCAGGCCCCUGGGAGGUGGGGAUAGGACGGUCCUGUCCUCAGAGAGCCGGUCACACAGCUGCGCUCGCUUUGUGCAGACCCACCGAGUUGCACACUCCCGUUUUGUGCACUUUUCUCUCUUCCGCUCUGAUAAAAACGUUUUUUACGCACACGAGCCCCCAGAAGGGUGCGGGAGGAGGGGAGCUGAGCUCCUCUCGUCACUGAUACGAACCGAGGAGCGCCCCCAAGACCUCGGGCCGAGCUAGGAGCUGUGUGCCGCGCUAUCCUGGUGUGCUGGAGACAGACUUAUUUGCCCGUUGGUAAAAGAAGUUGGAAACGCAUUGGGAAGACAGCCGGUGGGGGGAAGGGGGGGGUUCCGCAAACAGAUUUCCUUGCUUCGAGCAGCUGCGUUCUCUUUGCAGCACAGUAAUCAUUAAUGGCGGAGAAGGGCCGAUUUUUCUUCUUUCUUCUUUGCCUCUGACACCCACUGAUGAGUAGGUCGAAGACCAUAUAAUGGCAUAUUAAAGAAACAGGAGCGGUUUUCAGCACCAGGCAAUGGGAGAGCCUGGAAGGGGUGGGGUGGGGGGGUGAGGCAGGGGCAGGCGGAUGUCUUUCCGCCAGGCUUCCCUGUUCUCUGGGCAAGCUGGUGUGUACCGGGCCGGAGAGCUUGGCCAGAGAGACGAAAUGGGUCCAGGGAGAGGUGGGCGGUGAGAGGGUGUGUGGGAACGCGCGGAGACUCAUUGGCAGUUCUGCGUCCACCUUGCGGCCCUUCCUGCCGUCCUGAACUCAGGCCCCUCCCAGGGUGCUGGCUGGCCCCUCCCAGGGUGCUGGCCCUCCCCUCCCUCCCAUCAGCCCAUCCCCCCCUCCAUCAUCUUUGCUCUCCUGGGAGCCGUGGCCCCUGAGGCCUUCACGUGACCAUUGACUCAUGCCACAGUCUUAUUGUCCAACCAUACGACGUGGUGCACUCCUCUGAGGGCAUUUUGUCCUGCACGCGCCUGGUGAGGGUGUGGGACGGGCUCGUUCUGUGCCUCUGGUUCUCGGGGUCAGUGUGGACCCACGUCCUCGCCAUCUGCUGUCAGCAUUGACGAAGAGUGGGCCUAAAUGUCAAGGUCUACUUUCUCGGGCCAGCGGGGAGAGCCAGUAAGUGCCCCCGGUCUCCCCUCUGGAAGGACUGGGGAAGUGGACGAUAUGGAAGACGAGAUUGGGCCAGCCCGACACAAGUUGACUUCUUCUGAAGAUCGAACGGUUAAUCUCUGCUUCGUCCUUACAAAGGCGUACCGUAGAGCAAGACCGUCCGACAGAACUUCCUGCGCAAAGAUGGACGUGGGCUUGAUCCCUGCUGUCCUCUGCGGUAGCCACGAGGCGCGUGUGGCUGUUGAACGGCAGGAGCAGGGACGGUGCACCUGCAUUAGUUCGUAGGGCUGCUGUGACAAAACUCCACCAACUGGAGGGCUGAAAACAGAGAUUCUCUGUCGAGGCUCUGGAAUCGAGGUGCCUGAGGUUGACUCCUGCUGGAGCCUCAGAAGGAGAAUGUAUUCCAGGCCCGUCUCCUGCUUCCGGUGCUUGUUGGCAGUCCUUGGCUGCCCGCUGCUCCCUCCCAUGGCCUUCUCACACGUGCGUGUCUGUGUCCGGAUUUCCCUCUCCUAAGGACACCGGUCAUUUUGGACCGGGACCACCCUAAUGACCUCAUUUCAGUUUGAUUAGCUCUGUAAAGGCCCUACUUCCAAAUAAGGUCACAAUCACAGGUUUUGGGGGGGAUUAGGACUUCAGCACAACCUUUUGGGGGACGUAAUCCAACCCUUAAAAGCAAACGACGGACGGAAGUUUCUAUUUUAUUGAAUUUUGAAUAUGAGCAGCCACACGGGGCUAGUGACUGCCUCCCGGUCAGCACAGCUAUAGACUGGAGAGGGACAGUUUGGGUGAUUGAGCAUAUCUGUUUAGAGCUACCCUUUGGCCGGUAACUGCUCAAAGCUGGGUCACCUGCUUAUUCCAGUGAGGCUUCUGGGCGGCGGCCCCUGAGGGCCGGGAGGGAGGAGGGGGCGUGACUAACCCCCCGAGAGAUAGAGGAAGGAGCACUGGCCUUCCCAUGAGCCCUCCAUGCGUUUUACACACCCGCACAGAACGCACAGCACGGCUGCCUCCAACCCUUCGUGGCCUUGCCUGGACAAAACACCGGGCAUCCUGUAAGGUCCCUGCUCUGAUUUCCCAGGGAGGCUGUACGGCUUCUGCAGAGACGUUUGCUCUCUAAACGGGCAGGACAAGUACUAAGGGUCAUCUGGGGCUGGGUACAAAGCCAGACUCUCCCUGAACGGAGGGAAUGGAUGUGGAGAGUAAGAAACCGUGGCCUGGCCACGCAGGGGAAGCCGCUGCCAGGCCCGUCGUGGGGAUGGGGGCAUGCGGGCAGGGUAGUCCCCAGCUUCCCCGGAGCCCGAGGGAGCCCUUAGAGCCCUUGGCUCUCAGGGUGUGGGUGCCCAGCCAGCUUACUACCAGGGAACUUGUUAGAAAGGCACAGUCCCGGGGCCUCCGCCCCAACCACCGAAUCCCAGGCUCAGGGGUCGAGGCCAGACUGUGGUUCCACCAGCCCUGCUCGCGACAAGGAUCCUUGCUCUAGUCUGAACCGCUGGCCCGGAGUCGAGUUGUACGAGUCACCGGAGGAUCUCGGUAAAGGCAGAUUUGGAUUCUGGGGGCCAGGGCGGGGGGGACGCCUUGGCGUCUGUGUGUCUGACAGGCUCCCAGUGAUGCCGGGCGGCUGGUCCCCAGACUGUACUCCAAGGAACCGGGGUCCAAAGCACUAAGGUCCACAGGGGCCGGGCCUGUUCUCUGGCUCACCGUUCCCAGCACCUAGAACCGAAGGCGGGCGUAUAAUAUACUUCUAACCUCCUCGCUCGACUGAAAAUACUUUGGUGCCAGAGAGAGGGCUGCUGAAACUCACCUCGCCUCCCCUUGUGGGGGCAGAAAACGUCUCACGAUGACUUGCUCGGUGGCCUGUGUCCUACUAACUGUGAAGACGGAAGCCACGCUGCACAGAGCUACAGUGCAGGAUCUCCCGGGGACUAUUUCAUUAAUCUUAGGGGCAGCGAAAGACCAGCAGGCGUGGAGGUCUCCUGCAGAGACCUGCUGACUGUUCGCGAGCACGGAUUUGUGGCUGCCUGGGGCCAGCCCGCUUCCCCUCCGCCACCCUCUUGCUUCCCUACCUCUCUCCCCCGACGUAAGUGAUUCGAAUCAUUCUCCAGCCUCUUCCGAGAACGUGUCUCCUCCAGAUGUGCGGGGACGCAGCCAGCAGCAGCCUUACUCAGGGGAGGAGGGCGACCUUCGCCGGGGAUUUUCGGUCCUCGCCAGGCGGGACCCCCUGCCCGGAAACCCCGACGGCAGGCUCGCCCUCAGUGUAACUGUUCGUUCGGCUCCCCGAGAAUUUCUCGCUACAACUCAGGUCAGCCUUCGUGGCUGUCAACAGGAGACAAGCUGGGGUGCAGCGGAGGUGGGUGGAGGUCAGAGAAGGGGUGGCCUCAGCUGGGGCACUGGCGAGCCCGGGGGCCGGCAGCGGGCUUGCUCCCCUCCCCCCGUCCCUGCAGCUGUCUUAUUCUGACUUGGGGGGGGGGGGUCUGCCCCAGCUCCGCCCUCACCUGGGUCUCCAACCUACUUUUCUCCCUGGGGGGUUUAAAACCUAAGACCCUGCAUUUUCGAGGGUCCGCGACGGAUGGGAGGUUGAGGCUGAUGCUUUUCUCUUGGCCGUACGGUAUUUAGGCGAGGAAAAGAGGCCCUUGUCUUGAGUGGCCGGAGGCCCAGGCCUGCAGAGCAGGUGACCACCGCAGCAAAGGCCCCGGCUUUGUCCCCGGGAAGCCCCCUACCUUCCGGUUUGCCCGGGUCGCCAGACCAGCCUUGGCCACCGUAUCCCCAAUACGGUCCUGAGCGGGCGCCCAGCCCUGCAGCCUGUCAUCGGGGCCAGGAGCUGCCCGGGCUGCAUGUGGCGGUGAGAAGUCCCCGGGUGGGCAGGAGGGGUCUCUGACGGCACCGUUAGCUGAGGCCGCGGCUUGUCAGAGCCUCACUACAGACGGUCAAGAGGAAGGGGGAAGGGAGGGAAGGAGGAGGUCUGUGAGGCUCCCGCAGCCCCGGCAGGCGCGGGGCGGGAGACCCCGACGUGAGGCCCGACCACCGGGAGACCCUAGCAGAGGCCACACGGGGCCCUCGUUCUGGCAUCAGGCCCACGGCCUCAGACCCCGCGAGGGCUGGGGUGCUGGGCACGCAGAGCGGGGUCCGCCUCCCCUGCCGGAUGAGCUCCACACUGUUCUUGGGGUGCUAAGUCUGCGGGAGGCGGGGCCCGCGGUUUCCGCCCGUCCACCUGGCACUCGAGCCCCCGGGGGUCUGCCGGCCAGGGGUGCCCUGCGCAGUGGGCUGAGGGUCAGGCUGGCACCCGGCCUGGCAGCUUCCGCUCAGACCACCGUGCGGAGAAGCAGCUUUCAGCGCACCUUGGAAGCUAAGGUGCCCUGCUCCCCGGGGGAGGGUCCCGUUCAGGAGCUGGUUUUUUAUUUGCCCGUUUCACCAAUGGCUAAGCUGAGGCUCAGGUCCGAAGUGAGCAGCGCUGGUGAACGGCGGGGCUGGGGUCUGCCGCCGAAGUUCCUCGCAGAAUAGGCUGAGAGAGGGCAGGGGCUGCGUUUCCCACCAGGGUACCUGCAGACCCCUCCACGCUGGCCCUCGGGAGCGCCCGGUGAGCUCGGUGACUCCUGUCACAGACACCCGCUGCCGGGGGGCUUAUCCUCUCCGGGGAGCCCUCAGAAUAACUCCCGCUAUGGGAUUUGUGUCACCCCCCAGGGAAAGAUGAGAGGUCUCUCCUCAGAUGGCUUUCUUGGGAAAAGGCAGGCCAAAGAGAACCCUACGUGGAGGUGACUAGCUUCGUGAUGUGGUCACAGGGGAGGAGGGUCAGCCGUGACACGGGCGACCAGGUGAUCGCUGCUUUAAUUUACACAACACCGAGUCAGUGGACUGUGUGCCCAGCUGCAGGCUUGCCGCCCGGGGGACACACCCCCAACCGUCCCUCCCUCCAGUUAUGUCACUGCCGGCAGCCUCACCGGGAGUCAUGUAAAUGUCACAUUACCCUUGGCAAGGCUUCUCAGAUAGCGCAUCGGAAACUUGGCCGCGGGAAGGCAAGGAAUGUCUGACAUCUCCCUGGACUCCCUCCCGCUGCAGGCCUGGUGACCCACGCGGGGUCCUGUGACCGCGGCCCGGCAUCGCACACACAGAAUCUUCGGACCAAGCGGGGGUGUCGUGCUUGCGCGCGCGCUCUCUCUCUCAAAAAUAAAUAAACAUUAAAAAAAAAAAAGAAGAAAUCCCUACAGCUGCUACAACAUGGAUAAACCUUGAGGACAUCAUGCUGAGUGACGUAAGCCAGUCACAAAAGGAGAAACACCGGGUGAUUCCACGUGCGUGAGGUCCCGGGAGGGGUCAGAGUCAUAGACACAGAAAGUGGCAGGGUGGGGGGGCUCGGGGUGGGGGGGAUGGGGGUUAGUGUUUAGUAGGGAUGGAGCUUCAGUUUGGGACGACGGAAAGUUCUGGAGACGGAUGGUGCUGAUGGUUGCACAACGGUGUGACCGUAUUUAAUGCCACAUGAUCACUUAAAAAUAGUUAAGAUGGCGAAUCUGAUGUUCUUUGCAUUUUACAAUACAAAUAAAUUUUUAAAAAUGGUUCUGAUGAAUAAGGUAGCUUAUUCGCCAAGUUUUACUAACCUGUUUCUCGGAUAUUCAUAACUAUUCGUGUGCUUAGCACAGAGGUCCUUAAAAAACAGCAAAGUCCUUAUUUUACCGUAAUGUUCUAGAAUGGAGAAAGCCCCAGUGGUGACACAGUUGUACAGAACCCUCACAGUCUGUGGGCUCAGGCCGAUGCCAGGAGCCCCGUGGAGACGAUGACCACUCACCGACAUGUCCAAGGCCAUGGCUGCGGCUCUGGGCACCACUCAGCUGUGCCUGUCCAGAGGCCGCGAACGUGAGGCUUGGUGAGCCUGACCGCCAGGCCUCCCUCGGCCCCCUUCUCCCCGCACACUCUCUGGGAACUCUCCUCCCUUCCUCCACAGUGACCUUUGAACUCUCCUCACCUGCUCCCCUUCCCAAGGGGCCAGGAGGGCACAGGCUGGCCAGCUCGGGGGCUCCCAGAGCCCAGACCUCACUCCUGUCCCCUGCACAGCAGUGGUCACUCCGUCCUGUCUCCCAAAAUAAUCUUCCGGCCAGAGGGAGGGGGGAUUGUAGCUGCUGUUUUUAAUUGAACAGGCUUACAUCACACUGCCAAGGCCCCACUUCUACGGUAAUGUUUCGGAGUCGGCCUCCCGGCCCUACCUGUGAGUGCAUCCCAGCCCUACCCAUGUCUGUCACACCCCUACCCAGGUCUGCAUUCCAGCCCCGCCCGUGUCUGCAUCGCACCCCUACCCUGUCUGCGUCACAGCACAGCCCUGUCCUACCCAUCUUUCCCUCAAGGCCCAGGGGAAAUGACAUUAGUCCGGGCUGCAUAGACAGCCCCCCUCAAAAUCACGUUAGAGCUCUUUUUUGUUUUUACAGUCAAGUUUACGGACGUAUGGUUUACAUACAGUAAAAUUCACCCCUCUUAAGUGCGCGGUUCUGUGAGUCUUGACAAAUAUAUGUAAUUGGAUACUCAACACCACCAUUGAGAUAUAGAACAGUUCUGUCACCCCCCAAAAUUCCCUCGUGCCCCUCUAUGGUCAACUUCUUCCCACAUCCCCAACCCCCGGCAACCUAUAAUUUUCCUGUCCCCUAUAAUUUUGCUUUUUUCCCCUAUAAUUUCUAUUUAGAUGGUGAAAUUUAGCAUAUAGCCUUCUUUCACUUAGCCAAAUGCGUCAGAGAUGCGUCCCUGAUGCUUUAUAUCUCAAUGGUCCUUUCCUUUUUAUUACUGAGGAAUGUCCCACCGUUUGGAUGCACCAGCUCGUUUAUUAAUUCACCAGUUGAAGGACUUUGGGGAUUGUUUCCGACUUGAGGCAACUAUGAGCAAAACCACUAUAAGCAUUUGCAUCCCAGUUUUGUACGAACACGAGUUUUUACUUCUUCUAAAGUGGCCUUGUGGGGCUCUAUGGUAUAUGUACCUGUGACUUCGUGAGCAACUGUCCAACUGUUUUCCAAACCGACUGCACUAUUUUGCGUUCCCACCAGCAAUUCAUGGGAGUUUCCGUGGCUCCACACCUUGCCAACACUUUGUAUUGUCGGCUUUAGAAAGAAUGUAGCUCAUCUCGUGGUGCUCAGGGACAUCUCGUUGCUAUAAUGUGUUUAUCCCUAAUGACUGACGGUUAAUGAUGCCAAGUGUCUUUCAGCACGCAUAUUUGUCAUCUGUAUGCCUUCUCUGGGGAAGUAUCUGUCUUAACCUUAGCCUUCUGUUCACUUUUUUUUAUAGAACCAUUUGUUCUCUUGUUAUUGGGUUUCGAGCGUUCUUUAUAUAUUCUGGAUACAAAUUCUUUAGCACAUAUGAUUUGCAAAUACUUUCUCCCUGUCGCUUACCUUGUCUCAUUUUCCUAACAGUAUCUUUUGAAGGGCUUACGUUUUAUUUAUUUAUUUUUUAAUGUUUAUUUUUUGAGAGAGAGAGAGAGAGAGAGACAGAACACAAGUGGGGGGAGGAGGAGAGAGAGAGGGAGACACAGAAGCUGAAGCAGGAUCCAGGCUCCAGGCUGUCAGCACAGAGCCCGACGCGGGGCUCGAACCCACAGAUCGUAAGAUCGUGACCUGAGCCAAAGUCCGACAUUUAACGGACUGAGCCACCCAGGCGCCCCGAAGAGCUUACGUUUUAAAUUUUAAUGAAAUCCAACUCAUCCAUGUGUUCUUUUAUGAACUGUGCUCAUCGGGCGUUUUGUGGAACUAAGGUGUGCCACGUAGCCCUAUGAGUACUUACGGAGUAGGGAUUGUGUACCGAGCUGGGGAAACGAUGGUAAAUAAAAUUCGCUACCGAUCAUGCUUAGUGGAGGAGACAGGGUAUGUAAAGGAGUAAUGAUAGCAUACUAUAAUUUGUGAUGGUGGAACGUGCAAGGUGCAUAAACAGGAGGAAUAAGUUAGCUUGAUCCUAGGAUGACGCUUGGUCACCAGUGAUCUCGAGAAAGCAGCUUUACAAAAGAUGAACUUAGCCAACAAUCGAUGCUAAAGCUGUGGAGUGAAUCAGAAAGUAAAGAGAGAAAAACUUGCUCCCCUAGGCACAGGGUUCUGAUAUCAUUUCUCAUACCCCAGUUCUAGAAACCCAGCGGGGGGAGCUCCAGAGAGAAAAUUAGGAAGAGAGAAAAUUUACUAUCUGGCUACGACUGAGUCCGGAGAUCCUGGCCCUGUCCUUCUUCCCUUCACUCGUGUCCCCAGUGACCGCAUCUCCUUGGGGUCAUUUGUAGGGAACUGUCAUCCAGGUCAGCCUUCAGCAGGUUGGCCACGAUGAACAGGACCUAGAGUCUUUCAUGUAAAAACAACCUGGAGAAAGGGGAGGCUGGGUCACCAGAGAGACUGGUUGAGUAGGUCAGGUAUUUGGAAGGGGUCAAGGGACCUUCCAAACCCCAAAGUCCUAUACAUAGGAUGCUGGCUUCUCCUACCCAUAAAACAGGCUUGGGCACUUGUGGUCGAUGUAAGUCAGACACUGGAAGGUGAGGGAUUCUGGGAUCCCCAGAAUGAGUGCUUGUCCUCAUUCCCUCCGGUCGCCUUGUUACCUCUCUACUAAACACAAAGAAAAACCGAGGGAUGAUGCCGUCAGCUUUGCUCAUGGCCCUAAACUCCCAGAACUGCUGCCGUGUCGUUGUUGGAUUGUUGAAAGCGGAGGCAAAUCCCAGGCCUGAGGUUCUGGAUUGCCUCUAAAAGGACACAGCCGAGGGGCGCCUGGGUGGCCCAGUCGGUUAAGCGUCCCACUUUGGCUCAGGUCGUGAUCUUGCGCUUGGUGAGUUCGAGCCCCGCGUUGAACUCUGUGCUGACAGCUCGGAGCCUGGAACCUGCUUCGGAUUCUGUGUUUCCCCCUCUCUCUGCCCCUCCCCUGCUCACGCUCUGUCUCUCUCUCUCUCUCUCUCUCAAAAAUAAAUAAAACUUUUAAAAAAAAGAAGAAGAAGGAGACGCCGAAACCUGCGUUUUCAGCGUGAGACGCUCGACUCCCUUCUCUCUGCGGCUUUCCUCCCUCCCCUCUUCCCCCUUCACGGGGAAUCUACCCAUUCUUCCCUGGGAGCAGAUACCCAGUAUGGCCCGCGGUCCCUUUCUUCAUGAGCUGAAUGAGGAGAGUCCAGAGCGGCACCAUAGAAACCAGCACCGGCCCCAGAGGCAGCCUGGAUGCCUUCCCGGCCCGAGGCCUCCCUGGCCUCGCGCACGCCCGUCCGGUCUCACUGGCGCCUCACACCAGAGGGCCCGGCGUGUGGUGUCAGGUGAUAUGUUGAGUCAGCAGACCCACAGGAGAGCCCCGGCCGGAGUCCGUGGCAGCCGGCUGCAGCCAGCACCUGGCCUGCCCGGAGACCCAGCGGGCAGGCGACAGCCGGGCCGGAGUCGCUCACCCACAGACCGUCUCCCGCCCCCAGCCUCUGCCUCCCCGUCCCGCGUCGCUGAGCGUGGCCUCCAAAGCCGAGGUCUGGAAAGCGUGCUCCCGAGGCCCGAACGCCAUCACGCCUGGUAGAACAGAGUGUCUUAGACAUCUGGACACCACCCGAGACGUCCCUCAGGGAGGGGACAGUGGCUCAGAGCACUUUCUAGGUACCCACAUCCCCUGGUCGCUGCUGUUGGGUCCAGAGCGGGGAGGCAGGGGGGGAUCUGGGAGCGCCCUCGAGGGUAAGGUUAAACAGCCCGGGGACACUCCGAGGUGGGGCUUCGAGCGCAGCUGGCAGGGGCACACGUCGCCAGCAGCCUGAGCCCACGGUCUGUGGGAGGGAGGAGCUCUCAUCGGGGGUACCGCUUCGGUUCAAAAGGCCCAAACUGUGGGGCGCCCGGGGGGCUGGGUCAGCUCAGCAUCCGACUCUUGAUUUCAGCUCGGGCUAUGCCCUCGCGGUUCACGAGCUCGAGCCCCGCGUUGGGCUCUGCGCUGACAGCCUGCGUGGGAUUCUGUCUCCCUCUCUCUCUCUGCCCCUCCCCCGCUUGCCCUCUCUCUCAAACUAAGAAACGUUUUUUUUUUUUUAAGAGGCCCAAAUCAUGGGAAGUGUAGGAAAAACUCAAGGUAAAGAUUCUGAUCCUCAGAGCCCGCUCUGGAAGCUUCCACGUGCCGGGGUCCUGGUUAGGCGUGGUCGCUGGCUUCCCCUGAUUUGGUUAUCCACGCUGAUUUUCCACCCAAUCUUCUGGCUCCCUCUUCUCCCCGUGAGGGUCCCUCAGCGGACAUAGCUACUGGUUGCUUUCGGGGCCUGGGGGCCUCGACCCUCCCUGUGCUCCCAAAUCGGCAGAGUUCUGCCGGAUCUGCUGCUUUACGUCACGGUGACACCGCGCGCCCGGGACAGGCUGGCUUUGCCGGAACAAUUGGCCGGAACAGCACUGCAGUAAACAGGCAUCUUGGAGAAAUGGAGGUUAGAAAGACUCAUCUGAACUUGCGCGGAAAUCGACUCCUGACCUAGGAGCGCGUCCGAGCAGGGCAGGGCAGGGGGGGGGGUCCUGCCCGGAAACAUUCCAGCCCCACCUCUGGCCAAUGCCAGACAGCCUUCCCCCUGCCCACUGGGCACCUGGCGACUCCGCGGCUCUCUUACUGAAUUAGUGUUCUUCUCCUGUGUGCUCUCAGGAAGUGACGGUCACCGUACUGACCCAGGAAGGAACCUCAGCUCCUCCUGCCCCACGUCCAGUAUGUCCUGGCCACGGCUUGUCGCUAUCCACUCCUUCUGGGCAGUCUGCCAGAGGGAUGGGGGCAGCUGGUGGACGCGGAAGGAAGAGCCUGGGGCCGGCCAGUGAGAGCCCGCGUGCAGCAUUGUGGGUCCCAGGGGUACUCUUGGGUCUCACCCUCCCACCUCUGACCCCGCGCACCUGCUGUCCUCCUGGGCGAACACCUGCUCUUUCCUCUCGCCGACACAGAUGGUCUCCUCCCCGGGACUCCGUGGGUGCGAAGGCGGUGUCCGAAAGCUCUCACAGCCCCGGGCUGGGGGUCUAGAGACCCAAGUGAUGGCUCUGCGUGGUCCGGCUUCCGACCCAGCUGCUGCCCUCGGGCCUGACACUUCACCUCUCAGGGCCUGCGUUUCCUCCACUGUACAAUGAGGCCACGGGAUGUUUGUCUGCUGAGGUCCCUCAGCGCCGAUUCCCCCUGGCUGGGAUUCUUUUGGUGGGGACUACCCUGAUUCUGUCGCAUGCAGCCCAAUCGAUCUACACGGUAUCAAACACCUGUUGCUUUCACGAUUCCACAAAGAUCGUCGGCAGAAGGGACCCGCGCAGCUAUUGCCCCUUCGUUGGCACAUCCUUAGCGACCUGCUUUUCAGAAUCUGUUUUAGAUGGGAGGUGGAUUGUUCUAGAAUCUCUCCCUCUUGCAAAGCGACUGAGGAAUUUUUUUUCUCUCUUCCUUUCCCCAAGGAUUGACUUUUAGCUUCAACAUCAAAAGGCACCUAUGCUUUGCUAAAGUAGCAAGGGUUAUAUUUUGGGUUCACGAAGCAGACCUCGGACCUGCAGAUGAGUGUGAAGAGGGCACAGCUCUUUUUCUUUUCUUUUUUUUUUUUAAAUUUUUUUAAUGUUUAUUUUUGAGAGAGAGAGAGAGAGACAGAGUGUGAGCGGGGGAGGGACAGAGACAGAAGGGACACAGAAUCCGAAGCAGGCUCCAGGCUCUGAGCCGUCAGCACAGAGCCCGACGUGGGACUUGAACUCACGAACCGCGAGAUCAUGACCUGAGCCGAAGUCGGACGCUCGACCGACUGAGCCACCCAGGCGCCCCUGAGGGCACAGCUCUUCUAAAGGCCAGGGCAACACCAGAGGCUGUAGGGACCACACUGUAGGGACUGAUCUAGAGUCAGUCCCUGUUUUCAUUUUGUGUCCUUUUCCAGUUUACCUAUGCAACUAUCAACAUGCUUGAGCCCACUCCAUUACCUAACACCUAGGUCCAGACCCCUAUUGGGUGUGCACAGCCGUGUAAAACUAGUUUUUCCUGGAUUCCUUCUAGGAGAAUAAGAACCUCAGAAAAUGUCCUAAAAGAAUUUUGUGUUUUCUUUAGAGAAAGAAUUUUUCACCCACUGGAUUACCAUAACGCUUUGAUUCCCAAAGGACUCUAGACAGCCUCCAACAUAUUUUGAAUAGUUUCAAUGAUAAAAGAUUGCAAAACAGAUUCUUGGAGUCUAUAAGCAAAACUUGCAGCCUAAAACCCGACUUCCAGUCGACAUGUGAAUUGAGACUAAAGUCAAGGAUGGCCAGGGCCAAAGCCGUUGGUUUGUAAGGAGAUCCUAGGCCAGUCCUGAGACGAUAGCCUGGAAACUUUACCCCUAAGAGAGUGGGGGGGACCCGGCUGGGGUGGGUGAGGUGGGGAGGAUCUCAGGAAAGGGUCUUUUAGGAAAUGAGUGAUUCUGGAACAUUUGGAGCAAGAGCUGAAAAGGGGAAGGGCCCUGGGAGCACUGGCCAGUGGCUGAAGGAACACCUGGUGACCAGAGAUGAGGCACAAUUCAGGGUCAUCUGCAUGAGACUGCCGUCGACAGUGGGAAGAAUGAUUUCCCUCAGAGACCAGGCAGGGGGCUUGGGACUCAGAAGAGAACUUCCCCUCUUGAAGAAGAGAGCUAUGAGAGAGAGAGACUGAGAGAGAGAGCUGAGGCCCUGGUUCUACAUGGCCACAAAGAAUGGGAAGAACUUCUUCUAGAAGUUUCUUACCUACAGAAUGAGGAGUCUAUAUUCAAUUAAUGGUUCAGAACUUGUCUGGCCACUGAACCACCUGGGGAACUUCAGAAAACCCAGAUUCGCGGGGCACCUGGGUGGCUCGGUCGGUUAAGCGGGCGACUUCGGCCCAGGUCACGAUCUUGCGGUUCAUGAGUUUGAGCCCCGCGUCGGGCUCUGCACUGACAGCGUGGAGCUCGGAGCCUGUUUCGGAUUCUGUGUCUCCCUCUCUCCCCGCCCUUUCCCCACGCGCGCGCUCUCUCUCUCAAAAAUGAAUAGACGUUAAAAAAUAAUAAUUUUUUUAAAAACUGCUUAUGAGCGAGUCUCCCAUCCGAUGCAUAUUGAAUAUUUGCUCUUCUCCUGGGACAGCGGUCAGCGAGGACGUUUAAGAUCAGGAACAAGGUGAAUUUUCUCCUCUCUCUUGUUAUUCAGACCGUGCGCUGCCCAAGGGCAGGGGGAAGGGGGCACAUGUGCCCGCGCCCAGCACGCAGCCAUCUGGUCUACCUGGUUUAUGUUUCCCGACACAAGGGCUCGGUUUGCUCAAGGGCCUUGAUGUGCACAAGGGCCUCCUCCUUCCUCCCCGCAUCGCUGUCCUUCCGCAGACCCCUGCCGUCUUGCUCCCAGGGGCACCACUGUUCUGUCUCCUCCCCCGCCUCUCUAGACGUAGCUCAUGCCAGUACGGCCUGGCCCUGUGAAGUCACCAGCUCAUGGCUCCCUGGUGUCUGGAGCCACUUGCCUGAUGUCUUGCGUGGCUGCCAGGAGCCAUUUCUGUUGGCUCAGUGUGCCUAUUCACUUAUCCUGGCUGCCGCCCCAGGAAAAUCAAAGGCAUUGUUCGCUCUCGGAGGCCGACGGCAGCUCUAAACAAAGUCCUUAAGAAGCAGAAGAAGGAAGGAAAGCCUUCUCAGAAGAGCACAGCGGGGGAAACCUAUCUGUGCCCUGGGUACCGUGGCCACAGCCCGGUCUUGUCUGGGCCCUUCGGAAAGUCGCCUGAUCGGGGGCGGACGUGUCUUAUUUUCCGAGGCGCGGGCCCGGCUCCCUCCUGGUGUCUCCGCCGGGCUUUCCCGCCCUUUCUCCGAGCCCCUCCUGGGUUAGCGUUACACGCUUUUCACUCCAGGGCUCACCACGGGGCGUGCCUGGUUUGGGCUUCGGUGUGGUGUCGCCCCAGUUUCCCCAAGCGGGUCUCAAAGGUGGGAGUCGUCUGCUUCACGGGAACCUGCCCCCUCCUCCGCGCCGGCACGGGCCUGGCCCCCGGCAGCCGGCUGGGUAGACCGUGGCCUUCCUGAACGAUCGCGCUCUGGCGGUUUGCCCUGUGGUUGGGAGAGACAUUGGUCGAUUUCCAGGAUACUGGGGGAUCGUGGCAGCACGGCCCCACUCUCCUCUUUGUUGAUAAAUUGUGACACCGGCCGACAAAAGAGGGACAAGUUUAGGACUCCCUCACUGCCGAUUCCCCCUGGCUAGGAUUCUUUCGGUGAGGACCGUCCUGAUUCUGUCGCGUGCGGCUGGGUUCGUCUAUGCAGAACCGCCCCGCCUUCCUUCGUAGGAUGCCCCCUCCCUGCCCGGGUGAAACAGCAGAGAAGCGACCAGAAGGCUCCUCUCUCUACCCGCCUCGCCCGUCUCCGCUCUUGCCGGCUGGGGCGGAAGAGAAACACGUUUGGACGAGGCCCGCCCUUGCCUACGCCAGGCCACCCCGUGGGAGGAAUCCCGCAGAGCCCCAAGCCCACUCUCCUCCGGGACCCCCUUCCCUCCCACCCGCCUCUCACUUCUCUGCCACACCCAGUGCUCUCUAAGCUCCCCUGCCUGCCGGCCUGUGAAGCCCCACUUUCCGGAAGGGUCAUUCUCUCCCCGCGCCCCCCUCCCCCCAGCGUCUAGAGCAUCCUUCUGUCUUCGGCAGCAAGACCACCCACUCUGAGAGGAGGCCAGGUGGCAAGGUGGAAGGAUCCUUUGAACUUGGAAAGGUUUCGGUGAGAGGGGCUGUCUUGGGGGGCACGGAGAAUCACGCCGUUCCCCCAGAAACCGGUCGCUCCCGCCACCAGAUGGGAAGCCCACCCGUCGUCUCCUCACUGCACACGGUGCAGCGAGGUUGUGUCUAGGGCUGCGUGGCUUCUCCGCCGUCCUUCCUGCCCUCGGUCAGCAUGGGCUUAGGACCCUUCCAGGACUCACGUGGGGACGGCCCACAGAGGCCGAGCCACAGGAGAAGCGGGAGCCGCCAUUUGUGCUCUCAAGAGCCCUCUUAGGUGGCAAGCCGCUCAGUCUUGUUCUCUUUAAUUCCUCACACGUAGGAAGGAACGUUCUAGAUCCAAAGACCUCGCAAGGAAUUCUACCAGCUAUGACUGUCCCUUCCUUCACGGUGACUGGGCUUGAUCCCUGAAGAAUGUUGUAAAUGGGAGAGCUUGCAGACAGAGAGAGAGAGAGAGAGAGAGAGAGAGAGCGAGCGCCCAGGCCCGCCCUCGGAGUGCUUUCAUGUAGGUGGGGACACAGACCUCCCCUUGGGGCUGGUGGGGGCGGCUGGGAUCAGGGCAGGGGGCAGGAGACGCUUACAUUCGGUGUUAGCCAGCCUCUUGGCUCAAAAGCAGAAUCGGGGCUGGAGAAAGUAAUUUUCUGAAUAGAGGGCACAUCCACGUGAUACGAAAGUUGUAAAAUGACAAAGGGUGCACAAUGACGGUGUUUUCUGCCAGCCGUUCCCGCCUCCAGGGCUUUCACAGCCUUCCCCAGACACUCCGCACACACGGACGGAUACGUACAUACGUUCCCAUCCCCUUUUCCGGGACCAGAAAUGGUUUCAUUCUCUACGGAUGGCUCUGGGGUUUGCCUUUUCACUUGCCGCCGCGUCUCCGAGGUAAGGAUGAGGAAGCUCGUCGUGCCCCGUCGGGGAGCCAUGGCCAUCCCUGUGGAUAUGCGGUCAUCGCGUUAGCCUCUUCCCACCCGUGAGCACCUGCGUCUCCAAUCUCUGCUUUUACUUUAUUUUAUUUUGUUUUAUUGUAUUGUAUUUUAAUUUUUAAUUUUUGCGUAAUUUUGUUUGUUUGUUUACUUAUUUAUUUUUAGAGGGGGAGAGAGAGAAUCUUAAGCAGGGUCUACACUGUGUGGAUCCUGACCCGGGGCUUGAUCCCAAGACCCUGGGAUCGUGACCUGAGCCACAAUCGAGAGUCUGAUGCUCAAGGGACUGAGCCACCCAGGCGGCCCUCCAGUCCCUGCUUUCCAAAGCACCACUGUAUGGGGCGCGCCUGGGUGGCUCGGUCAGUUGAGCGUCCGACUUCGGCUCAGGUCAUGAUCUCACGGUCUGUGAGUUCGAGCCCCACGUCGGGCUCUGUGCUGAUGGCUCGGAGCCUGGAACCUGUUUCGGAUUCUGUGUCUCCCUCUCUCUCUGCCCCUCCCCUGCUCAUGCUCUGUCUCUCUCUGUCAAAAAUAAAUAAGCAUUUAAAAAAUAAUAAAAAAAAUAAAAGCACCACUGUCACGAAGGACCCCACACGCUCGCCGUUUAGCAAUUCUGCCCCUACGUCUGUGGAAGGAAAUCCCAGAAGCAGACUGCUGGGCCAAGGAGCAUGUGCGUGUGUAGCUUUGCUAGAUGUUGCCAAAGCACCUCCACAGAGGUACAUGAUUCGUCCGUGCCUCUGAACACUCCUCUGUAGGUGUGGUUUGAGCCAGUAUGAGCCGGAUCUGGGAGGAAAGUCACAGGCAAGAUGGAGGGGCUGGUCUGGAUUGUGCCCUGUGUUCGGACAGACACGGGUGCUUCGGCACCGAGGGGUGCUGGGCGCCGCUGGGCCUGUCCCUCCUUCACGCGGAAAGCCAAGACCCCUACAGGGGCUUCGCGGGAGGGCCUCUCACAGGCUGUUAGAACGUGGUUGGUGGCCCCAGCCUGGAGUCCCAACGGCCCCCCGUCCCUCUCCGUGCCUCUGUUGGGUCUCCAGCACUCGGCCUCGGAAAGCACCGGGGGGUGGGGGGGGGGGGCCUCUGUGUCCAGCGGCCGGGGGAGCAUCGGGAGCGCAGAACACAGAAUUCCCUGCUCGACGGUGCCGUGGGAACUGGCCUGUUCUGGGCCACGCUGUGACGGGCCGGACUAGCGGGCCAGCUGAGGACUCCCGCCGGAAGAGCCAGGGAAGGACGCGCCACCAGCCCGGGGAGGCGGGGCUCCACAAAGCAGCCCCCUCCGCUGCUCCCUCUGAUGACCCAGGCGCACCCCCUGGAGCCCCCUGGCUGGCAUCCUCGUCCCUCGCCGCUCUGCGGGCAUCGCCGGGGAGCGUUGGAGCCGUGACGCUAGAGAAGACCUGGGCCAGGCGGCCCCUGUCUCCCCCUGCCUGCCGGACCCUUCCCGUCUCCCCCUGCCCCCCGCCAGCUGGAGACCCCCCCAGAUCCCCCGUGCUUCAUCCUCUCUCCCCUUCCUCCCCCACCCCCAGCCCCGCCUCGCAGCAAGCCUGGCUUCUCAAGGCCUCUGGGGGAAAGCUUUUGUUUUUAAGAGUCGGGGGCUGUCCUGUUGGAGGCCUUUUUGUGCCUUAAGUUGAGACCCACAAACCCGUGGGUGCUAGAGUGUUCUGUCUCCUGCUGUCACCUGCCUCCCGGGGAUCUGCCUGGAGCGGGCCUUCCCACUCGGGAUGGCUUCGUGGGAAGAGCGGCUCCCUAGAAGACGACGCUCCUCCUUCGACGGGUUCCUUCCGAAAUGCCCACCAGGGACCUACGUGCCCCCCACGCUCUCUGGGCUCGGGGAGGCAGAGAAGACGCGAGCUGAGCUGGAGCCUUAGGCCCUUCGUGCUCUCUUGUCCCGCCUUGCCUGCUGGGGCAAGCGUCUUCCAGGAACCUUCCUUCCCCUCGCCAGGCCGGCGCUGGCCGCUGUGGGGACCCAGCAGUGUGGCCCAGAGCCCCUGCCCCACAGACAAAGGGCGGCUUCUGUGGGGGACAGAAGACUGACGCGGUUUCACGCUUGGCUUUAGCGUGAAACAUCUUCUCGUUCCCUGGUCACGUGCUGCACAGAUACGACGUGCUCCUGGGUCCGGGGGAGCGAGAAGCCACAGGCCGUGGCGUCAGGAAAAGGAGGUCGGUUGAACUGACUCCUGAGGAGUGGGAGGCCCCUCCGGGGAGCGAGGACGGAAGCAGAGAAGGGAGCACUCGUGUCUCCGUGUGAGCAGAGGGGUCUGGAACGCGGGACACGGCAGGUAACCCCCGGGCUCCGUCUCCCGACAUCCUUGCUUUGUCUUGCGUGGCUUAACGUUUGGGCUGAAGCCGAGGUGUCAGCAGGGCCGUGCUCCCUCCGAGACCCUGGGUAGCGACCUCCGGUGCCUCUUUUAGCUUCUGGUCGCCGACGGGGCUUGGUGCUCCUUGGCCUAGGGAUGCAUCACUUCGGUCUCUGCCUCUCUCGUCACCUGGCUUCUCCUCUGAGUGUGUGUCCAUUUCUACGGCUUCUCCUCUCAUAAGGACACCGGUCCCGUCGGGUUAAGAGCCCAGCCUACUCCAGCGUGACCUCAUCGUAACCUGAUGGCCUCUGCAAAGACCCUCUUCCCUAUCCGUGUGACUUUUCACUUUGUCACUUUGCGAGGCCCCUUCCCAGGCCUGCUCCUCCUCCCGCGUCCCCUCGGCAUUCACCCUCGUGGCCAACUCUCGCCUCCGCAAACUCACGGUGGCAAGAUUUAGGUUGCGCAUUUUGACGGUCAUCGCACGUUUCGUCUGGUUCUUAGUCGUCACGUGACCUUCCGCAACGCCGACCUUUGUCUCUGUGGCCUACUUUAUGAACUUCCCUACCCUGGUUCCACUCCGUGUGCUCUGGCCACACGCUCUGCAGGGGAGGAGUACGUUGAUAAAGGGGCACCUGGGUGGUUCAGUCGGUUGAGCGUCCGACUUCGACUCGUGGGUUCGAGCCCCGCGUCGGGGCUCUGUGCUGACGGCUCGAGGCCCGGAGCCUGCUUCGGAGUCUGUGUCUCCCUCUCUCUCGGCCCCUCCCCUGCUCACCUCUGUCUGUCUCUCUGUCUCUCAAAACUAAUCAUUAAAAAAAAAAAAAAAUACGUUGAUACGAGCUUGUCCCCAACAUUCAGAAUUUAGUAAUUCAGAUUCUUGCCAUUUGAGAUUUGGGGCUCUGAGAAGUGGAAGAGCCCUUCUCUUGCCUUCUUCUGUCUCAGCCAGACUCCUAACAGCUCUCGUGGUCUCCUCCUCAGCCUCAGGCCUCUCCUCCUCUCCGUCGACACCCACCCAAGCGGCCAAGCAGCACACGUUUCCUCUCGAAUCCUACAAGCAUGAGCCUGAGCGACUGGAAAAUCGCAUCUAUGUCUCCACUUCCCCUCCGGACACAGGCCAGAGGUACUGCCCGUCCUCCUUCCAGAGCACAGCCGGG
rnacentral:lncRNA from 1 species